CUGGCCAUGGCGGAGGCGCCGCAGAACGUCAACUCCGUCGUCAACGUCGUCGCCAACCUGCAGCAGCAGAACCUCCGGGUCGUCUUCGACGUCGCCAACUCGCGCGUCGGCUUCGCCCGGGAGUCCUGCAACUAGUUCCCACGAGGCGACCUUUCUUCACGUGUUCGUGCGGUUAUAAUCGAAUCAUUAGCCAUGCAUUUGGGUGUACGUACGUACGUACUACGUGUGAUUGUUAAUUUGCGGCUUAGUAUUUUUCAGUGUGUGCAAUAAGGAAUGUGGCAUCAAAGUUUGUCACGGGUGGGUGCGCGUGUGUUGUGCUGUACUACGUGUCGAUAGAACUAGAGAAUUACUGUAGUACUGGUCGUAACUAUUUACUGGUGUGAUGUGUGGUGCAUUUAAUUAACUUGUUUGUUUCGUUUGGCUGUUGCGCAAGGUGUACGUACGUUCGAGACUUUCACGCUGCACAUACGUACAGGUAGAGUUAAUGCAAAAGCUGGCUCGUCUUGGAGUGUACUGGCAGCCGGUGCUACUGGCUUGUGCUGCCAAUCUGCACAGUGCCCAGACCAACAGGGCUAGCAUGCAAGCUCCAUGGCAUUGCCUCCUUUCGAAAUUUGAAGUUUGAACAAUUAUGUUGCUCAUGAUGAUAUUGUCGAAAUAGGACCGAUGGUUGUUUAAUACUAACGUUUUGACAAUUAGUUCUUGCAGCUUCUUUAUUAAGUCAUGUAGUUUCUACUUUAGAGUGCAUAUUCACUUGGAUGAACAGUAAAAAUAAAAUGAAGCGGUAAAAAUAAAAAUAAAUUCUUGAUUUUUCAUUUCUUUUAGCAUGAGUGCAGUAGGGAAGGCUCUACCAUGUCUCAUUUCUAUUAAAAAAAUAUAAUAAUGUACAUAUGGAAGGGUGGUAGGGGAAUGAGAAUAAAAAAAUUACAAAGUGUCAAGCCAAGUUUGCAUGCCAUAUUCAGAAUGGGCUUUUCCCUGUUCAUUACCAUUUGGAAAGAGUUAAAUACACCACGAGUGCCUUAACUUGUCCUAUGCGAUCAAUUUGAUGUCUAAAGUUGUGAAAUACAUAAAAGUGAUACUCGAACUUGUCUGCGCGUGCAAAUAUGGUGCCUCCUGUCGUAUCCCGGUGUACGCUUUGCCAUGUAUCGCGUUGGCAUGGCUACAUGGCGACAGUUCGCAUGUCAAUGAGUGAUAGCAUUUUAUUUACAACCAACUCCCUUAAAUUAUACUCCCUCCGUCUCAAAAUAAGUGUCUUGACCUUAGUAUAAAUUUAUACUAGAGCUAAUACAAAGUUGAGACAUUUAUUCUGAGACACGGAGGAAAUAUUUAAUUACACAUAAAUGUAUGGCAUACAGAUGCAUAUUGAUGAUGGGUCUAACCUGUCACGUUUGGGUCCUGCAUUUCCAGGCAGGCGAGCGGAUGAGAAAAAAAUAGUAGUAAUAAGAAAGAAAAAGGACAAGCCUAGAUGGAUUCGAUGCCAGGACAUUGCGUGCACAACAUUCACAUGUUAACAAAUACACUACACCAAGCAUGGCUGCAUUUAAUUGUUUUCCUUAAUACCGGAUGUCGUGUGUGUGGUAUGCAUCCGUGCACACGUCAAUGACAAUUUAUUUGUUUGGUGUUACCAUGAAAACAAUAUCUUUGUUUGGUGCACACCUAAAUUCUUCACUUGUUAUCGUAUCGAGGGAGACUCGGGGAAUAUGCUAGUGCAUUUGAAAACAAAUGUUCACCAUGUUUUUGAAAAAUGUUUCACGUGUAUUAUAAAAUUGUAAACGUGUUUUUGAAUGAUGUUUGUCAUGCAUUCAAAAUGUUGAUAACAUGUACUUCAAAAAAUGUUCAACGUGUAUUUUAGAAUUUAUUGCGUAAAAUUGUUACCAUGAUUGAAGAUGAAUAGAUUGGAAGUUUUUCCCGCAAAAAAAACGCCUUUAGUGGUUUUAAUACAUUUCUAGAGUUAUUAUUAUUACAUGAUAAUAUUUUAAACAGAUUGAACAAUUACGUUAUCAUUUUUUGUAAUUGUAUAUUUUAAAAUACAAUGAAAAUACACAAUAAUUGUCCGUGCUUGUGGUCCUGCACGAAUAUACAUAAAUUUACACAAUAAUUCUUAAUAUAUGUUGAACUGUCUAAAUCUACAUAACUUUUAGAAUUAGUUCAUGUUUACCUCUUCAAAGUACACAGUAAAAAAAUAAUAAAGAAUUAAACUACACAAUAAUUGCCUACUGAUAGCUAUUGUAGUUUUUAUAUGACAAAAUUUACAUAUCAUGAAAGCUAAACAGAAACUUGAAAAAAAAUGUAGAAAAUGUGUUAAGGAAUCGCACAUCUAUAGGCGAUAUUGUUCUACACACAUUUCUAGUUACUUUUUUUUGAUGACACAUGCAGUUCUAGUUACUCGUAGAACGUAUAACUUAUUUUGGUCAGGUGGCCAACAAGCGUCUGCAUAUUUCUAAUUUAAGGGUCCUUUCUACGUAAUUAAAUAAAAAUGAGGUGGUUUCUGGAAAAAAAAACAUCACUCGACCACUUCCAGCCACUGACAUGCAGGUUACCGCCACACUGGGGUGCCAUGCAGGCAGGGCAUACGUCCGGAUACGAUAGAAAGCACUGUAUUUGCACGGAGGGAUAAGUUUAAGCACCACUUUCAUGUAUUUUACAACUUUAGGCACCAAAUUAACCGCACAUGACAAGUUAAGGCACCCGUGGUGUAUUUAACUCAUUUGGAAAUCCUCUUUGAAAGAAUAGCAACACUGGUCCAUAUUUCUCUGUUUGUUUUCAAAUAUGAUAACAUUCAUGUGCAUCCUAUGAUAAGAGUUUCUCUGAAACAAUUGUUUCCCAUUCUAGUUUGUCAUUCAAUCAUAAUAUCAAAUAUAUUUAAAUCUGUGUUCCACACCUUGACCAUUGUCAUCCUUUUCUUUAGACGAGAAUAACAUAUAAAAAAGAUGAUGAGUGAGAUCCCCAUUGGUACUCCCUCCGUACUUAUUUACUCCGCAUAUUAGGUUUGUCUAAAGUCAAACUUUAUAUACUUUAAAUAAGUUUGUAGAAAAAUAUAUUAACAUAUACACCACUAGAUCAAUACCAUUAGAUCCAUCAUUACAUGUUUAUUUCACAUCAUAUAGAUUUGUUACAAUAAAUGUUCAUAUUGUUUUCUAUAAACUUGGUCAAAGUUUACAAAGUUUGACUUCAGUCAAAGCUAAUAUGCAAAGUAAAUAAAAACAGAAGGAGUACCUUCAUCACAGCGCACACAAGUAGUGUCAUCAAUGUGAAAAUGUUUCUUGGAAAGCAAAUCCCUGGUAUUAAAUUUGUCCUAAAUGGGUAACCAGAAAGAAAAAGAUUGUUUACACAAACAACCUGAUUCCCAUGUCCAUCUGAAGGGAGCAUCAAUGUUUGGUGGUGGGGUGGGAUGGGGUGGGGUGUCAAGCUAAUACAUAGAAAUUUCCCGUUGGAGUAUUUCAGUCCACUCCAGUUGAAAGUCCAAGUGUCAGCAGUAUAAUUGAGAUCGAUGCCAUUCAUAAUGCUAGCAAAUUCAUCACAUCAUUGGAGUACAAUGCCCGAUACUGGUAGAUGGAAGAUAUUGUAUAUGUCAUCUGAGAUAUAGUUUUAAUUAGCUGGAGAUAAUGUGAUAUUUUUGUUUUUGCAAAUGAGUGAAGUUGAGGAAAUCUUUCUUUCAUGCUAUCAUCAUGCCAAUUGUCAUUCCGUAACAAAAUGGAUGAACCAUCAUUAGGGCUAAUGUUAUGAUAUUCUUAAAGGGAGUACCUAGAACUCAUUUAGAUGAGAUAUAAUUUGGUCUCAUUCACUUUGAAAACAAGAACAUAUACAACCCACGUCAGCUGAAAGUGCAACUAAUCCCUGGGUGGUUUUGAUAAUUCUUAACCUUUUUCAAGAUAAUCAUUUCAGAAAGUUUAAUGAUUGGCAUGGCAUGGACUAGGGAUGUGGACCCCUCAAAAUGCAAAGGAUACAUAUUGGCAACAAGCUCAAGACUCUACCUUUUUCAUUUAAGUGAUCCAAGAUCACAUUGAGUCUAUAGGAAAGCCAAUACUAUUAAAAGGGGAUGAGGUGUUGCUUAAUGGUUUGCUUGCUCAAAAUGCUUAGUGAUAUGCUCCAAAACCCUCGACCACUUUCCCAUUUCCACAUUUGUCCUAAAUCUAAAAGUCAAACUCGGCCCCACCAAUUUGAUCUAUCCGGCGCUACUGAGUUCACUUGACAUAGCCAUAGCCAGAAACCCUAAACACUUCGGUCUCACCGAUAGGGAUCUCGGUCUCACCGAGAUGGGAUUGCAAACUCUCUGUAUCCCUUCGUAACGUUUCGGUCUCACCGAAAUGAGCGAUCGGUACCACCGAGUUCGCAAUGCAAACUCUCUGUUUCCUUCUCGUAACGCUUCGGUCUCACUAAAACGAGCGAAUAGGUCCCACCGAGUUUGCCUGACCAACUCUUUGUUUGCCUAUUAGUGAAAUCGGUCCCACCGAGUUCAUGUGAUUGGUCUCACCGAGAUCAAGUUAUGCCCUAACCCUAGCGCAUCGGUCCCACCAAGUUGAUCAUAUCGGUCCCAUCGAAAAUCCUAACGUUCACAUUUAUAACUGAAUCGACCUGACCGAGUUUCUUGAUUCGGUCCCACUGAGUUUGGGAAUAUGUGUGUAAAAGUUAGAUUUUGUGUGGAGGCUAUAUAUACCCCUCCACCCACUCUUCAUUCGUGGAGAGAGCCAUCAGAACAUACCUACACUUCCACUACUCAUUUUCUGAGAGAGAACCACCUACUCAUGUGUUGAGACCAAGACAUUCCAAUCCUACCAUAUGAAUCUUGAUCUCUAGCCUUCCCAAGUUGCUUUCCACUCAAAUCAUCUUUCCACCAUAGCCAAAUCUGUGAGAGAGAGUUGGUUGUUGGGGAGACAAUCAUUUGAAGCACAAGAGCAAGGAGUUCAUCAUCAACACACCAUCUAUUACCUUUUGGAGAGUGAUGUGUGCUAGAUUGGUUAGGUGUCGCUUGGAAGCCUCCGUCAAGAUUGUGGAGUUGAGCCAAGAAGUUUGUAAGGGCAAGGAGUUCGCCUACUUCGUGAAGAUCUACCCAAGUGAGGCAAGUCCUUCGUGGGCGAUGCCCAUGGUGGGAUAGACAAGGUUGCUUCUUCAUGGACCCUUCGUGGGUGGAGCCCUCCAUGGACUCGCGCAGUCGUUACCCUUCGUGGGUUGAAGUAUCCAUCAACGUGGAUGUACGGUAGCACCACCUAUCGGAACCACCAAAAAUCUCCGUGUCUACAAUUCCGUUUGCUCCCUCCAAACUCCUCCCUUUACCUUCAUAUGCAAUGAUUUACAUUCUGCUUCUAUACUCUUUGAUUUGCAUGUGUUAGGUUGAUUGCUUGACUAGUGCUAAGUUGCUAAAAUCUGCCAAGAAUUAAAAUUGGGAAAAGGUUAAGUUUUUUUGGGUCAAGUAGUCUAAUCACCCCCCCUCUAGACAUACUUUCGAUCCUACAAGUGGUAUCAGAGCUUUGGUCUCCAUUUGCCUUGAUUUCCAUACCUUUGGUGAUCAUAGCCUUGGUUUCACAACCUAGGAGAGUAUGACAUCUAGCGAGGGAAAUUACCACCGUAGAGGUCCUUACUUUGAUGGUACUAAUUUUGCUAGUUGGAAGCAUAAGAUGAAAAUGCAUAUUCUUGGACUUAACCCCGCCAUUUGGGCUAUUGUGUGUAUUGGAUUGCAAGGUCAAUUCUUUGAUGCGAGAGAACCAAAUUGUGAAGCUACCGCGGAAGAGUUGAAGAUGUUACAAUACAAUGCUCAAGCUUGUGAUAUCCUCUUCAACGGAUUGUGCCCCGAAGAAUUCAACAAAAUCAGUCGUCUUGAGAAUGUAAAGGAAAUUUGGGAUACUUUGAUUGAUAUGCACGAAGGUACCGACUCCAUCAAGGAAUCCAAGUUGGAUGUGCUUCAAAGUCAACUUGAUAAGUUCAAAAUGAAGGAAGGUGAAGGUGCCGCUGAAAUGUACUCUAGGCUUGCUCUCGUCACAAAUGAGAUUGCCGGUUCAGGAAGUGAAGAGAUGACCGACAAAUUCAUCAUCAAGAAGAUCCUAAGAGACUUGGAUGGAAAAUAUGACACUGUGUGCACAUUGAUCCAGAUGAUGCCAAAUUACAAAGAUCUCAAGCCAACGGAAGUCAUUGGGAUAAUUGUUGCUCAUGAGAUGUCACUCAAGGAUAAAGAAGAGCUUCACAACAAGUCUAGUGGUGCUGUCAAGGUCCUACAAUGACAAAAGAUCUUCUAGUCGUGAGCGAAAUUGCUAUAAUUGUUGAAGACCCGGACACUACUCCAAUGAGUGUACGACUCCCUACAAAAGAAGAGAAGACUCACCUAAAAGGAGAAGCAAAAGGGAAGAAUCACCACCAAGAGAGAGAAGGAGUAGAGAUGAUCACUAUGAACGAAGAACCUCUCGAAGAAGCAAGGAUUCGGAAAGGAAGGACAAGUCAUCAAGGGGCUACACAAAACGAAGACAUCAGGCUCAUGUUGGUGAUGGGUAUUGAUAUGUCUCCAAUGUAUCUACUUUUUCUCACGAUUUUCCUCUUGUUUUGGACUCUAAUUUGCAUGAUUUGAAUGAAACUAACCCCGGACUGACGCUGUUUCUGCAGAACUACCAUGGUGUUGUUUUUGUGCAGAAAUAAAAGUUCUCGGACUGGAACGAAACUUUGCGAGGAUUUUUUAUAUCAAUAAUAAGAAUUUCUAGAGCCAAGACCUUCCGGAGAGGGGCAUCUGGAUGGGCACAACCCACCAGGGUGCGCCGCCUCUCCUAGCGUGCCCAGCUGGGUUGUACCCACCUGGUGGCCCCGCAGACGACCCCCCUGACACUAUAAAAUCACAUAUUUCCAGGAAAAAAAUCAGGGAGAAAGAAUUAUCGUGUUUCACGAGAUGGAGCCUCCGCCAAGCCAUGUUCUUCCUCUGGAGGGUAGAUCUGGAGUCCAUUUGGGGCUCCGGAGAGGGGGAUCUUCGAUCUUCGUCAUCACCAACACAUAUCCAUCGCCAUAUCCAUGAUGCUCCCCAUCGGGAGUGAGUAAUUCCUUCGUAGGCUCAGUGGUCGGUGUGGAGUUGGAUGAGAUUCAUCAUGUAAUCGAGUUAGUUUGUUAGGGCUUGAUCCCUAGUAUCCACUAUGUUUAGUUUGUUAGGGCUUGAUCCCUAGUAUCCACUAUGUUCUGAGAUUGAUGUUGCUAUGACUUUGCCAUGCUUAAUGCUUGUCACACUUUCGGCCUAGGUGCCAUGAUUUCAGAUCUGAACCGUUUAUGUUAUCACCAUUAUAUCCAUGUUAUAGAUCUGAUUUUACAAGUUAUAGUCACCUACUACGUGUUAUGAUCCGGCAAUCCCGGAGUGACAACAACCGGGACCACUCCCGAUGAUGACCGUAGUUUGAGGAGUUCAUGUAUUCAUCGUGUGUUAAUGCUUUGUUCCGGUUCUCUAUUAAAAGGAGGCUUUAAUAUCCCUUAGUUUCCAAUAGGACCCCGCUGCCAUGGGAGGGUAGGACAAAAGAUGUCAUGCAAGUUCUUUCCAUAAGCACGUAUGACUAUUUACGGAAUACAUGCCUACAUUAUAUUUAUGAACUGGAGCUAGUGUCGUAUCACCCUAGGUUAUAACUGUCUCAUGAUGAAUAUCAUCCAACGAGUCACCGAUCCAAUGCCUAUGAAUUUAUCUUAUAUUGUUCUUGCUAAGUUAUUACCGUUGGUACUGCUAUCAUAUCACUGCUAUCACUAUUACUUUACCGUAACUAUUGCUGCUAUCACCAAAAAUAUCAUAUUACUGUGCUACUAAUCACUUUGCUGCAGAUAAUUAAUCUCUAGGCACUACAAAAAAGGCACAUCUGUGACAUUUUGGGCUGAACGAAUUUUUUUUGUCAUACUUAUGACACUUCUAUGACGAUAAUUGUGACAAAACCCGGUAUCAUCAUAGAUGUGGUGGGCACCUACUUCUAUGACAAAAAAUCAUAACAGAAAAUGGGCUUUUCAUCCUGGGCGGGCCAGAGACGCAGCUGCAUGACAUUCUUUGGGCCAUCCAUGACGGAAAAAACCAUGGUAGAAGCGAGGGCGAGGAAAAUUUCGGGGAGUUCCCAGUUACGGUGGGUGGUCGGGGGCCGAGCGAUGCGCGUUUCUCUCGUACACGUACGCAUGUGUGUGUGAGGCGUUGGCUCUAACUGAACCCGACCGAGGCGUUGGGCUCUAACUGAACCCGAGCGAUUGCACUGCAGGCUACGCGUUACUGAACCCGAGCGAUCGAUCGAUGGUUGUUAACUAAACCCGAUCGAGCGAUUCCUUCGCUACUGCUGCUAACUGAAGCCGAUCGAUGCUGCCUCUGGAUGAACAGUGANNNNNNNNNNNNNNNNNNNNNNNNNNNNNNNNNNNNNNNNNNNNNNNNNNNNNNNNNNNNNNNNNNNNNNNNNNNNNNNNNNNNNNNNNNNNNNNNNNNNNNNNNNNNNNNNNNNNNNNNNNNNNNNNNNNNNNNNNNNNNNNNNNNNNNNNNNNNNNNNNNNNNNNNNNNNNNNNNNNNNNNNNNNNNNNNNNNNNNNNNNNNNNNNNNNNNNNNNNNNNNNNNNNNNNNNNNNNNNNNNNNNNNNNNNNNNNNNNNNNNNNNNNNNNNNNNNNNNNNNNNNNNNNNNNNNNNNNNNNNNNNNNNNNNNNNNNNNNNNNNNNNNNNNNNNNNNNNNNNNNNNNNNNNNNNNNNNNNNNNNNNNNNNNNNNNNNNNNNNNNNNNNNNNNNNNNNNNNNNNNNNNNNNNNNNNNNNNNNNNNNNNNNNNNNNNNNNNNNNNNNNNNNNNNNNNNNNNNNNNNNNNNNNNNNNNNNNNNNNNNNNNNNNNNNNNNNNNNNNNNNNNNNNNNNNNNNNNNNNNNNNNNNNUUGCCUCUGGAUGAACAGGACCCCGAUCGAUUGAGCCGGUUGGGGCUGGAGGAUCAGGACCCCGUGGAGGGUUGGAUGAAUAGGACGACCCCGUGUAGGGCUGGAUGAACAGUAGAUGGUGGAGGGGUGGAUGAACAGUGGCCCGUGGAGGGGCGGUUGAACAGGAGCCCGUGGAGAGGGGUGGUUGAACAGUAGCCGGUGUAGUAGCGCGCGGUGGAGGCUGGAUGAACAGGAGCCCGUGGAUGAAUAGCCGCAGGUGGAGGCUGGAGGAGGUCGACGGUGGAGAUGAACAGUAUCCCGUGGAGUCCCGUUUUGCGGUACGCCACACCCCUCCCGAUGAACAGGACCCCCGUUUCGACUGUAGCGCUCCAACACAAGUCCGUUUUGUCCGUUUUGCAGUACGCCACACCCCUCCCGAUCAACAGGACCCCCGUUUCGACCGUAGGAGGUCCGUUUCCUCCGUUUUGCAGUACACCAGACCCCUCCCAAUGAACAGGAUCCCGUUUCGAAUGUGGUCGAUCGAACACAAGGCCGUUUCCUCCGUUCUGCGGUACGCUAGGCCUCCUUUCCAUUGCAUGUUCCGUCCAAGCCCUCCCGAUGAACACGACGACGCAUUCUGUUCCGACCCAGCCGGUUGGCUCCCCAUGAACACGACGACGCUCUUUCUCUGUUCCGACCCAGCCAUGUACACGAGCCCUGGCCGUACGUAUGCACGAGUAGGCGUUCGAGACCCCGCCCGUAUGUACGUACGUGGAUGUAUUUUCUUUCUUGCACCCUGGCCGUUGUACGUACAUGUACAUGCUACGUGCGCGCCUCUACUAUGACACGUGCACGCCUCUACAUCGACCAGUAUAUAUGUACAUACACGUUCGCCACAAGAAUGACAAUGCUACGUACGCUUCGACCAGGUGGGUCCCGACUGUCAGGCACUUCCUUGCGUGUGAAUAUGUAGCUAGUGGGUCCCAACAGUCAGGGGGGCAAUCAUUUUUUGCCCGGACGCGCACUUCCUUGCGUGUGAAGAUGUAGCUGGUGGGUCCUAGCAGUCAGCGGGGAAACAUUUUUUUCGUGAAAUACGGUGGCCCGUCCGGUGGGUCCCUGCUGUCAGGUGGAGGAAUAAUUAUUUUGCGCAUAAUAAGGAGGCACUUCCUUGUGGCUGCCGUGGACCCAACUGUCAGCCUCUCCACGUACAGUACUCUUCCGAUGGAAGUCGGUCAUUGACCACAUUGACCAUGCCGUGCCGAGAGCACCACGGCGGUGGACGACGGCGAGGCCUUAGGAAGGGGAUGACGCAGAGCUGGGGAAGAUGCAGCAGUGGAUGCCCACACGAAGAGGAGUACGAGGGUUCACUGGUUCGGCUGCAAUGUGAGGAUGCCGUCGCUGCAGAAUAAGAGGGGGUGUGGGUGAGUAGAGGGAUGGCCUGGCCAGCGGUGGGAGUAGUAGGAGGCGGUGAGGCCUCCGUGACAUCACAACCGGCCACGGGAGGCGGGAGCAUGCGGCACGACCGGCGCUGCUUUGGGCGGCUGGAGCAAGAAGACCAGAGGUUGAAGAAGCACUUCGGCCAUUGGAUGGACAUCGUACGGGAACUGGAGCUAGAAUCGUUCAUAUUGACUAAAGUUGACAAAGGCCUCCGUCCCAGUCAACUUAGUAGGCCAACAAGUCAGCCUCCCACCGAGGUGGGUCCCAACUAGCAGGGGGUAUUCAUUUUUGUGUGCGUAAUAAGGAGGCACUUCCGGUGGGUCCGAGCUGGCAGCGAUGGGAACGUUUUUUUCGCGAAAUACGGUGGCCCGACCGGUGUGUCCCAACAGAAACAUUUUUUUCAUGAAAUACGGUGUCCUAUUCGGUGGGUCCUAGCAGUCAGGGGGGAAAUGCUUUUUUUUGCGAAAUACUGGUGGCCCGCCCAGUGGGUCCCUGUUGUCAGGUGGAGGAAUAAUUAUUUUCCGCGUAAUAAGGAGGCACUUCCUUGCGGCUGCUAUGGACCCAGCUCUCAGCCUCUCCAUGUACAGUACUCUUCGGAUGGAAGUCGGUCGUUGACUACAUUGACCACGCUGCGCCGAGAGCACCACGGCGGUGGACGAUAGCGAGGCCUAGGAAGGGGACGACGCGGAGCCGGGGAAGACGCGGUAGUGGAUGCCCACGCGAAGAGGAGUAUGAGGGUUCACUGGUUUGGCUGCGCUGCCCUCACCGCAGAAUAACAGGGGGUGUGGCUGAGUGGAGUGGAGGGAUGGCCUGGCCACCGGUGGGAGUAGUAUGGGGGCAGUGAGGCCUCCGCGGCAGCACAACCAGCCACGGGAGGCAGGAGCAGGCGACACGACCGGCGCUGCUUUGGGUGGCUGGAGCAAGAAGACCAGAGGUUGAAGAAGCACUACGGCCGUUGGAUGGACAUUGUAUGGUCACUCGAGCUAGUAUUAUACCACUUCUAGUAUUACCUAUGUUGUUUUUUAAUACUUUUGUGUGCCAUCUAGUUAAUCUCGAGUACAAACAAUACAUAUUCUAUAGCUUUCAUCUGUGUUCUCCCUUUAUUUUAUGAGACCUGUUGCUGCUAGUUAACCCCAGUCCUACUAUUUAUGUCGUCUCCUACAGACACUCAUUACAUAAAUCUAACUACUAGUUGUCUUCCAUGCAUGUCAUAUAUAAUUGCACACACUGAUAUAUCUAGAAGAACCUCACGGAGCAAUGUAAAGGCCAAUAAACUUGAUGUCAAUGAUACCCAAUAUGAUGGAACAUGUAAAGGCAGUUCUUCAGAAGACUUGCAGAAAGAUGAUGAAUCCUCUUCACCCCACAAGGUCCUUGCUCUAACUUGGCCUGUGAUAUGGGUACAACAUGCAUAUAAUGUCCUAGAGUGUAUCUACUCUGUUGCAAUGCCAUGUGCUUAGCAUGCUGAUCAUGCAUGUAAAUAUGUCAUGCCUUCCUGUUUUUCAGUACCUAUUCCAUUCAUGAUAACAUGUUUUCAAAUUCAAGUACUGUCAUUCUACUCUAUCACAAUGCCAUCUGCUUAAUUUGGACAUCAUGCUUCUGAAUAUCUUAUGCAUUGUUAUUCAUCAGUAUGUACUUCAUUUGUCUACCAUACCAUGUUUUUUACAUUGAAGUGUUGUUCUAGUGCUCUGUUGCAAUGCCAUCUUAAUUUCCCAAUUAUACACGUGUAUGUUGCCUUAGUUUUUUCUGUAUGUAUUCCGCUAGCAUACAGUUUUACAUUCAACUAGUGUUUUUUUGUUGUGUUGUCCUGUCGUAUCCCUAGCUCUUACACCAUACUCCCUCUGUACGGAUUACAUGUUGCCGAAAUGAAUAAAAAGGAUGUAUCUAGAACUCAAAUACGCCUAGACCCAUCCAUUUUUUUCCGGAUGGAGGGAAUACAUGUUAAUAUGUCAUGCCUUUCUAUUAUUCAGUACCAAUUCGAUCUCUCUGCUGUAGCAUGUUUUAUAAUUAAAGCAUCAUUCUUCUAUACAAGGCAUGCAAGGGGAAGACGACUAUGUUAGAAUCUGAAGGGUUACAAACAAGGCCUUUGCAGAAGAUCCAAACGCUAGGAGAUAAUAAACCAACUCCAGUUUUUAUAGAUACUGCUCCAGCAUAGAGAAACCCAACUCCUACUAAUAAUAAGCAGAUUCCAGUGGCCAAAGAACUAGUCCGCUCCAGUCCAGCAAAAAUAUGUCAACUCCAUUCUAAGAAGCGUGUGCGUAUCCUUGCAUCAUAAAAUUUUAUAGCAUGCUGAUCAUAUUUUCUACAUGUUUCUUACCCAUCUCUCUUUUAGAAAAGGGAUAUUAGAUUUAUGCCCCUAGUUGUGUCCCACUCGUCUGUUUUACCCCUAAUUCCCAAAAUUCACCGCUUGUGUCCAAGUCACUUUGCUCCUCUUAUGCUUUUGCCCUUUGACCGUCUGACCGUCAGUUUGAAAACUUCAUAACUAAUUCAUACUAAAUCAGAAAAAUCCAAAUAAGAUACCAAAAUGUUCAGAAAAACAUCACUUAUAUGUCAGUGUCAUUUGCAUUCAUGAAAAAAGUGUUGGAAAGUGCACAUCCGAGUUUUAGCUCUUUUGAUACCACCAUGAAUAGUAAAAUCUAAAAAAGUUCAAAAAAAUUCAAAAAAAAAUUUAGCGGCAAAGAAUGAAAAAUGUUUCAAGUGCCUACCAAGUUUCAUGAGGGAAUAACAUUCGUGGGUGCCGCGGGCAAAAAAAAACAAUCAGCACUCCAAAAAGAUUAUUUUUUUGCCACGACUUCCACGAAUGUCGUACCCUAAUGAAACUUGGGCAAUCACUUAGAACAUUUGUUGUUCUUUGUCACCAUAUUUUUUUUGAUUUUUUUUGAAUUUUUUUAGAGUUUACUAUUCAUGGUGGUAUCAAAAGAGCUAAAACUCGGAUGUGCACUUUCCAACACUUUUUUCAUGAAUACAAAUGACACUGACAUUGGUGAUGUUUUUCUGAACAUCUUGGUAUCUUAUUUGCAUUUUUCUGAUUUAGUAUGAAUUAGUUAUGGAGUUUUUAAACUGACGGGGCAAAAGCAUAAGAGGAGCAAAGUGACUUGGACAGAACCGGUGAAUUUUGGGAAUUAGGGGUAAAACAGACGAGUGGGACACAACUAGGGGCAUAAAUCUAAUUAUCCCUUUAGAAAAUAGGCUUAACAAAUAGAAGAAUUUCUGCACUGAUAUCAUAUGUGAGGAAAGAUUCUUGCAGGAAUUCUCUGUGCUCCAAUGCAGAUGUAAGUAACUGUUGUAUAUCACUAUAUUUUUACAUCAGCAUGUAUUUUGUUAAUCGGCGUGAAUCUAACCUUUAUCUGAUCUAAAUUUAGUUGUAGCAAAAUGUAUGAUUAAAGGCCACAAUGUUGAUUUUUGUAAGGAAAACUGCCUGGUAGUUUUGCAUCUUGAGCUGCAUGAGUGUACUAUCUCAUAUCAGUGGGUUUGAAUACUUUGGUUCUGCAGUGGGUUUUCAAUGUGUUUUUUUACUGUGUUAUCCCGUCGUAUCCCUAGCUCUUACAUUGUACUCCCUCCGUCCGGAUUAUAUUUCACAGAAAUGGAUAAAACUGGAUGUAUCUAGAACUGAAAUAUGCCUAGACCCAUCCAUUUAUUUCCGGAUGGAGGGAAUACAUGUCAAUAUGUCAUGCCUUUCUAUUCUUCAGUACCUAUUCCAUCUCGGUUGUAGCAUGUUUUAUAACUGAAGCACCAUUCUUCUAUAUAAGGCAUGCAAGGGAAAGACGGCUAUGUUAGAAUCUGAAGGGUUACAAACCAGGUCUUUGCAAAAGAUCCAAACGCCAAGAGAUAAUAAACCAACUCCAUUUUUCAUAGAUACUGCUCCAGCACAGAGAAACCCAACUCCCACUGAUAAUAAGCAGAUUCGAGAGGCCAAAGAACUAGUCCGCUCCAGUUCAGCAAAAGAAUGUCAACUCCAUUCUAAGAAGCGUGUGCGUACCUCGCAUCAUGAAAUUUUAUAGCAUUCCGAUCAUAUUUUCUACAUGUUUCUUACCCAUCUCUCUUUUAGAAAAUAAGGUUAAACGAUAGAAGACUUCCUCCAUUGGGAUCGUAUUCAAGGAAAAUAUCUGGCGGGAAUUCUCUGUGCUCCAAUGCUGAUGUAAGUACCUGUUGUAUAUCACUAUAUUUUUACAUCAGCAUGUAUUUUGUUAAUCGACGUGAAUCUAACCUUUAUCUGAUCUAAAAUUAGUUGUAGCAAAAUGUUAAAGGCGCCAAUUUUGAUUUUUGUAAGGAAAACUGCAUGGUAGUUUUCCAUAUUGAGCUGCAUGAGUGUACUAUCUCGUAUCACGCACAUUACUGAAUUGUAGUGCUUCUCUGGUUACCCAUUCAUUCAUUGUGUCAAUGUUGCUUUCGUAUUACCUUACCUGGAUGAUGAUAGCUGUGCCAUAUUGUGUUAAUUUGGUGUAGGCUAGUUGCCCAAACUUUCAUUGUGUCAAUGUUGCUUUCCUAUUAUCUGACUUGGCCAAUGAUAUCAAUGCUAGUGUGUUAAUUUGGCGCAGGCUGCUGAAGAUAAGAAGACAAACUCUGAAAACAGCAAGGCAACCCCAUUGUUUUUUCCAAUAAAUCUAGGCCAGGUAAUAUAGCAAUAACUCACGAUUAAUCUGUUUGGUUGCCCUCCUAAUUUAUGUUAUGACGCAGUGGUCGAGACACUCUCCACUAUCAAUAAUACAAGCCUGCCAAAAUCGCCAUCUGAAUCUGUUCAAUAUCCUCUAUCUCGAAUGCAACGGAAUAAAUGUAUGUUUCUGAACCAAUUAAUGGCUGAAGCAAUGAUGGAAAUGGUGGAUGAAUCAGAGGCGCAGAGUCGUGCGACACAACAACUAAUCAAUGUUUUUAGAGACAGUGUAGCAAAGCAUAAAGAACUUGCGCACAUGCUUAUGGGCGUCAUCUAUGCUGAGGUUGCAGAUUGUGACAUUGUAGAUGGUUAGGUUCUGCUCAUUUAUUUGCACCGGCAUCAAUCUUUGAUUGCCUAGUGGAUGUAAUUUCCUGUAAUAUAUGCUGGUUGUGCAACGUUAUUCCCUGUAUGUCGUACCUUUGCUUGAUCAGUUUUGGUCCUGUGCAUAAUUGCUCGUCGUAAUGGGCUCAAAUUAUCUAAUUUGGCCUAAAGACAUGUACAAACUUUAGUGGGCACAUUAAGUUAAUGGGCCAUUACUAGGCCGAAAGUUAAUGGUCGGCCCUCUUACCACCCAGGUCGUUAACAGGCCAACAUCGAAGUGGGCAACAGGUGGGCCCAAUUGAUUCCACGGGCCGUUAACAGGCCGUUACUAAGUUUGGGCUACAUAUGGACCAACUAUAUUGUAGGCCUUUAGCAGGCCGAAAGAGACAGCGGGCUUGUACUGGACCAUGAAGAGCAUGGGACGCUAAAAGGCCGAAAGUCAGGUCAUAUUGUAGAUGGCCCAACUGUGUUGUGGGCCUUUAGCAGGCCGAAAGAGAAACCGGGCUGGCAUUGGACCAUGAAGGGCAUGGGCCGUUAAAAGGCCAAAACUAAGGUCCGACUACAAAUUGCCCAACUCAUUUAUGGUCCGUUAACAGGCCAAAAGGCACAAAGGGUCGGGAAUUGGCCCAACACUUAAAUGCGUCGCUAAAAGGCCAAAACUCAGGUCCGACUACAAAUGGCCCAACUGAUGUAUGGGACGUCAAUAGGCUGAAAGAGACACCGGGCCGGAAAUCGGCCCAACACUUAAAUGGGCCGCUAAAAGGCCGAAACUCAGGUCCGACUACAAAUGGCCCAUCUGAUUUAUGGGCCGUCAACAGGCAGAAAGACACGCCGGGCCGGAAAGUAGCCCAACAUUUAAAUGGGUCACUAAAAGGCCGAAAGAUGUACAUACUGAAAACUGGCCCAUCCAUUGAAUGGGUCGUUAACAGGCCGAAAUCUCAUCGGGCCGAUAUUGAGCCCAAAUAUAUAGCGGGUUGUUAACGGGCUCGAUUUGACGAUGGGCUGCAAUGGUGUCAAAUCUUUAAUGGGUCGUUGAUGGGCCGAAUUGGCACAUCUCGUAUGGGCCAUGGGCUUAAAUGGACCUGACACAAGUAAGCCUUAUAUGGGCCGGCCUGCUAAUUUUUACUGGGCCGACCUUUUUCACCGGAAUGGGUCACUGUUGGGCCGUGCCAUGUGUCGACCUAUCAUCGGCGCCUCCUGUCCAAUGAGUGGAUGACAUCUGUCCCAAUGGUGAGGCAACACGUGUUUCCUGCGGCCAAAGAUGAUUUUACAUGUGGAAAAUCCCCAUUGGUCCAGGCUAUUAACGGUUUAUCAGACUCAAAACUGGACCCGAUAGCUUAACGACGUUCCGUUACGGUGGAUGCCACGUGUCGGUCACCCUUGACGAAAGCACUUCUGUGACGCGCGAUUUAUCGUCAUGGAAGUGGACACUUCCGUGAUGAUAAUUUUGGUAAUGUCAUGGAACACUUCUAUGACAACACAGGUAUGACUAUAUUGAUUCUGUCAUAAAAUCAUCAUGGAUGUACAUGCAUGACAAAAAACGUGACCUACUGUGACAAACACGUAUCAUCACGGAAGUGUAUUUAUUUGUAGUGAGGUAUGGUUGAAUUGACAACUCAGCUGCUAAUACCUUCAAAUAUUCUUUGGCUCCCCUUGUGUCGAAUCUAUAAAUAUGGGUUGAAUACUCUACCCUCGAAAACUGUUGCGAUCCUCUAUACUUGUGGGUUAUCAAGACCUUUUUCUGGCGCAGUUGCCGGGGAGCAUAGCUAUAUAUGUUGAGUCACUUGGGAUUAUUAUCAUAUUAUCACUAUGAAGAAUCUGAAGGAUGCUAAGACUAAGAUUUUUCCUUCAAAGACGAGGGGAGGUAAGGAACAACCAUCCAGUUAUGCUUUAGAUUCACCUUCUAUUAUAAGUAAACUUGCAACUCCACAACAUGCUAUUAAUUCUGAUAUGUCACAAUUUAUUGAUGAUGCUAAUUCUACUAUGAAUGAUGCUUAUGAUGAUGCUAGUACCUUGCUUGAUGAUGAUGUGCCACUAGGUGAAUUUCUUGAUGAACAAAUUGCUAAAGUAAUACAACAUGAUAUUGUUGAAUCUGAUGAUGAACUUGAAACUGAAACUCUUGAAAUACCUAGAACUAGUCCUCCUAGAUAUGAAUUGCCAAAGGUACCAGUUAUACUAUGAGUGAGGAGGCAACUAGAGAUAUUCUUGCUUGUAAGGAUAGAGAUGAUCUAGAGAAAUUAUUAUGCAAGUAUAAAGAAAGAUCUCUGAAUGCUAAAAUGAAAUGUGAUCCUAAGUUUGCUAAUUCACCUAUUGUUAUUAAUGAUAAGGAUUAUGAAUUCUCUAUCGACCCAGAGUUAAUCACUUUGGUUGAAUCUGAUCCUUUCCAUGGUUAUGAAACUGAAACUAUUGUGGCACAUGUUACUAAGUUGAAUGAUAUAGCUACCCUUUUUGCUCAUGAGAAGAUUCUCUACUACUAUAUUAUGAAGUUAUUUCCAUUCUCAUUAAUGGGUGAUGUUAAGGCUUGGUACAAUACUCUUGCUCCUGGUUGUGUGCGUACUCCCCAGGAUAUGGUUUAUUACUUCUCGGAAAAAUAUUUCCCUGCUCAUAAGAAAUAAGUUGCCUUGCAGGAAAUAUUUAACUUUGUGCAAAUUGAAGAAUAGAGUCUCCCAAAAGUUUGGGGGAGGCUUCUCCAAUUGCUUAAUGCUUUGCCUGAUCAUCCUCUUAAGAAAAAUGAAAAACUUGAUAUAUUCUAUAAUGGACUAACCGAUGCUUCUAGGGACUUCCUAGAUAGUUGUGCUGGUUGUGUUUUCAAGGAACGAAUCAUUGAGCAAGUUGAAGAAUUACUGAAUAACAUAUUAAAAAAUUAUGAUGAUUGGACUCCUCUUGAAACACAUAUUAAACCCACUCCAAAGAAGAGGGGUAUCUUAUAUCUCAGUCCUGAAGAUAUGCAAGAAGCAAAGAAAUCUAUGAAGCAAAAAGGUAUUAAGGACGAGGAUGUUAAAAAUUUACCACCCAUCGAAGAAAUACAUGGGCUUGAAGCACCACCACCACCCAAGGAGGUAGAGGUAAAAUAUUUAAUGAAAUUCAAUGAUAGUGAUGAUCCUCAUAAUAAACAUCCUAGUCAAUGCCUUUAUGAGUUUGAUAAUUACAUUAGAAAGCAAGAUCACUGCAAUGCAAAUGUUAUGAAACAAUUGAAAUACAACUCUGAUAUGAUUGCUCACUUAAGUGACUUGUUAUUUAGAAUCUGAAAUGAUGUUAGAGGUGUAGGAAAACAUGCCCCUAUGGUUCAAACUCAAUUGGAACAAGUUGGUAAAUCUCAAAGAGAGUUACUUGAUGAAAUAAACAAUAAUAUACAUGACUUUGCUGUUAGAGUUGCAACUAGAGGAGGUAAAAUGACUCAGGAACCACUUUAUCCUAAGGGACACCCAAAAAUAAUUGAACAAGAUUUGCAAAGAAAUAACACUAGUGCACCUAGUCCUUCUAAAACGAAAAAGAAAAAGAAAAAGAUAGGACUUUGCAUGCUUCUAGUGAACCUGAAAUAGACAAACCUCCUAAUAAUGAUAAUGAAACUUGUAUCUCUGAUGCUGAAACUCAAUCUGGUAAUGAACACUCACCUUCUGAUAAUGAAAAAGAUAAGGAUGAAGUUCAUGAAGACACCCAACCUAAUGAUAAACAACCAGAUAAUGACGUUGAGAUAGAACCAGUUGUUGAUCUUGAUAACCCACUGUUGGGGAACACGGUAAUUUCAAAAAAAUUCCUACGAUCACACAAGAUCUAUCUAGGAGGUGCAUAACAACCAGAGGGGAGAGUGUUUCCACGUACCCUCGUAGUCUGAAAGUAGAAGUGUUUAGUAACGUGGUUGAUGUAGUCGAACUUCUUCGCGAUCCAACCGAUCAAGUACUGAACGUACGACACCUCCGCGUUCAGCACACGUUCAGCUCGAUGACAUCCCUCGUACUCUUGAUCUAGUUGAGGCCGAGGGUGAGUUCCGUCAGCACGAUAGUGUGGCGACGGUGAUGAUGAUACUACCAGCGCAGGGCUUCGCCUAAGCUCCGCAACGGUAUGAUCGAGGUGUGUAACUAUGGAGGGGGGCACCGCACACGGCUAAAAGAUCAACUUGUGUGUCUUUGGGGUUCUCUGCUCCCCCGUAUAUAAAGGAGGGAGGGAGGAGGUGGCCAGCCUAGGGGGCACGCCAAGCAUAGGGAGUCCUACUAGGACUCCCAAGUCCUAGUAGGAUUCCUUUCCUAUUCGGAGUAGGAGAGAAGGAAAGAGAGGGAGAGGGAGAAGGAAAGGGGGGUUGCGCCCCCACCCCUUGUCCAAUUCGGUUUGGGCAGGGGGAAGGCGCGCGCCACCUCUUAGCCCUUCUCCCCUCUCUCAACUAAAGCCCAAUAAGGCCCAUUACUUCUCCCGGCGAAUUCCCGUAACUCUCCCGUACUCCGAAAAAUACCCGAAUCACUCAGAACCUUCCCGAUGUCCGAAUAUAGCCUUCCAAUAUAUCAAUCUUUAUGUCUCAACUAUUUCGAGACUCCUCAUCACGUCCAUGAUCUCAUACGGGACUCCGAACAAACUUCGGUCAUCUAAACACAUAACUCAUAAUACAAAUCAUCAUCGAACAUUAAACGUGCGGACCCUAUGGGUUCGAGAACUAUGUAGACAUGAUCGAGUCACAUCUCUGAUCAAUAAUCAAUAGUGGAACUUGGAUGCUCAUAUUGGCUCCUACAUAUUCUAUGAAGAUCUUUAUCGGUCAAACCGCAUAACAACAUACAUUGUUCCCUUUGUCAUCGGUAUGUUACUUGCCCGAGAUUCGAUCGUCAGUAUCAUCAUACCUAGUUCAAUCUCAUUACUGGAAAGUAUCUUUACUCGUUUCAUAAUGCUUCAUCCCACAACUAACUCAUUAGUCACAUUGCUUGCAAGGCUUAUAGUGAUGAGCAUUACCGAGAGGGCCCAGAGAUACCUCUCCAAAACACAGAGUGACAAAUCCUAAUCUCAAUCUAUGCCAACCCAAAAAACAAUUUCAGAGACACCUAUAGAGCACCUUUAUAAUCACCCAUUUAUGUUGUGACAUUUUGUAGCACACAAAGUGUUCCUCUGGUAUUUGGGAGUUGCAUAAUCUCAUAGUCCGAGGAACAUGUAUAAGUCAUGAGGAAAGUAGUAGCAAUGAAACUGUCACGAUCAUAAUGCUAAGCUAACAGAUGGGUCAUGUCCAUCACAUCAUUCUCCUAAUGAUGUGAUCCCGUUCAUCAAAUGACAACUCAUGUCUAUGGUUAGGAAAUAACCAUCUUUGAUAAACGAGCUAGUCAAGUAGAGGCAUACUAGGGACAAUAUGUUUUGUCUAUGUAUUCACACAUGUACUAAGUUUCCGGUUAAUACAAUUCUAGCAUGAAUAAUAAACAUUUAUCAUGAUAUAAGGAAAUAAAUAAUAACUUUAUUAUUGCCUCUAGGGCAUAUUUCUUUCAGUCUCCCACUUGCACUAGAGUCAAUAAUCUAGUUCACAUCACCAUGUGAUUUAACGUCAAUAGUUCACAUCUGUAUGUGAUUAACACCCAUAGUUCACAUCGCCAUGUGACCAAUAACCAAAGGGUUUACUAGAGUCAAUAAUCUAGUUCUCAUCGCUAUGUGAUUAACACCCAAAGAGUACUAAGGUGUGAUCAUGUUUUUCUCAUGAGAGAAGUUUAGUCAACAGGUCUGACACAUUCAAAUCCGUAUGCAUUUUGCAAAUAUUCUAUGUCUACAAUGCUCUGCAUGGAGCUACUCUAGCUAACUGUUCGCACUUUCAAUAUGUAUCCAAAUUGAGACUUUAGAGUUAUCUGGAUCGGUGUAAAAGCUUGCAUCGGCGUAACUAUUUACAACAAACUCUUUAUCAUCCCCAUAACAGAGAAACAUUUCCUUAGUCCUCACUAAGGAUAAUUUUGACCGCUAUCUAUUGAUCUACUCCUAGAUCACUAUUGUACCCCCUUGCCAAAACAAUGGCAAGGUACACAAUAGGUCUAGUACAAAACAUAGCAUACUUUAUAGAACCUAUGGCUGAGGCAUAGGGAAUGCCUUUCAUUCUCUUUCUAUUUUCUGUUGUGGUCGGGUUUUGAGUCUUACUCAACAUUACACCUUGCAACACAGGCAAGAACUCCUUCUAUGACUGUUCCAUUUUGAACUACUUCAAAAUCUUGUUCAAGGUAUGUACUUAUUGAAAAGACUUAUCAAGCAUCUUGAUCUAUCUCUAUAGAUCUUGAUGCUCAAUAUGUAAGCAACUUUACCGAGGUCUUUGUUUGAAAAACUCCUUUCAAACUCUCCUUUAUGCUUUCCAGAAAAUUCUACAUCAUUUCUGAUCAACAAUAUGUUAUACACCUAUACUUAUUAGAAAGGUUGUAGUGCUCCCACUCACUUUCUUGUAAAUACAGGCUUCACCGCAAGUCUUUAUAAAACCAUAUGCUUUGACCACACUACCAAAGCGUUUAUUCCAACUUCGAGAUGCUUGCACCAGUCCAUAGAUGGAUCGCUGGAGCUUCCACAACUUGUUAGUACCUUUAGGAUUGACAAAACCUUCUGGUUGCAUCAUAUACAACUCCUUUUUAAGAAAUAUCCAUUUAAGGAAUGCAGUUUUGACAUCCAUUUGCCAAAUUUCAGAAAAUAUGGCAAUUGCUAACAUGAUUCAGAUGGAUUUAAGCAUAACUACAGUUGAGAAAAUCUCAUUGUAGUCAACACCUUGAACUUGUGGAAAACCUUUUGUGACAAGUCGAGCUUUGUAGAUAGUAACACUACUAUCAGCGUCUGUCUUCCUCUUGAAGAUCCAUUUAUUCUUAAUGGCUUGCCGAUCAUCGGGCAAGUCCACCAAAGUCCACACUUUGUCCUCAUACAUGGAUCCCAUCUCAGAUUUCAUGGCCUCAAGCCAUUUCACGGAAUCUGGGCUCAUCAUCACUUCCUCAUAGUUUGUAGGUUCACCAUGGUCUAGUAACAUGACUUCUAGAAUAGGAUUAUGGUACCACUCUAGUGCGGAUCGCGCUCUAGAAGACCUACGAAGUUCGGUAGUAACUUGAUCUGAAGUUUCAUGAUCAUCAUGAUUAACUUCCUCACUAAUUGGUGUAGGAAUCACUGGAACCGAUUUCUGUGAUGAACUACUUUCCAAUAAGGGAGAAGGUACAAUUACCUCAUCAAGUUCUACUUUCCUCCCAUUCACUUCUUUCGAGAGAAACUCCUUCUCUAGAAAGGAUCCAUUCUUAGCAACGAAUAUCUUGCCUGUGGAUCUGUGAUAGAAGGUGUACCCAACAAUUUCCUUUGGGUAUCCUAUGAAGACACACUUCUCCGAUUUGGGUUCGAGCUUAUCAGGUUGAAGCUUUUUCACAUAAGCAUCGCAGCCCCAAACUUUAAGAAACGACAACUUUGGUUUCUUGCCAAACCACAAUUCAUAAGGCGUCGUCUCAACGGAUUUUGAUGGUGCCCUGUUUAACGUGAAUGCAGUUGUCUCUAAUGCAUAACCCCAAAAUGAUAGUGGUAAAUCGGUAAGAGACAUCAUAGAUCGCACCAUAUCCAAUAAAGUGCAGUUACGGCGUUCGGACACACCAUUACGCUCUGGUGUUCCAGGUGGCGUGGGCUGUGAAACUAUUCCACAUUGUCUUAAAUGAAGGCUAAACUCGUAACUCAAAUAUUCUCCUCCACGAUUAGAUCGUAGAAAUUUAUUUUUCUUGUUACGAUGAUUCUUCACUUCACUCUGAAAUUCUUUGAACUUUUCAAAUGUUUCAGACUUGUGUUUCAUUAAGUAGAUAUACCCAUAUCUGCUUAAAUCAUCUGUGAAGGUCAGGAAUAAUGAUACCUGCCACGAGCAUCAACACUCAUUGGACCGCAUACAUUGGUAUGUAUUAUUUCCAAUAAGUCACUAUCUCGUUCCCUUGUUCUGUAGAAUGGAGUUUUAGUCAUCUUUCCCAUAAGGCACGGUUCGCAAGUAUCAAAUGAUUCAUAAUCAAGUGAUUCCAAAAUUCCAUAUUUAUAGAGUUUCUUCAUGCGCUUUACACCGAUAUGACCCAAACGGCAGUGCCACAAAUAAGUUGCACUAUCAUUAUCAACUUUGCAUCUUUUGGCAUCAAUAUUAUGUGUAUUAUUAUGAUCGAGAUUCAAUAAACCAUCAACAUUGGGUGUAUGACCAUAGAAGGUUUUAUUCAUGUAAACAGAAUAACAAUUAUCCUCUGUCUUAAAUGAAUAAUCGUAUUGCAAUAAACAUGAUCUAAUCAUAUUCGUGCUCAAUGCAAACACCAAAUAACAUUUAUUUAGGUUCAACACUAAUCACGAAAGUAUAGGGGUUGUGCGAUGAUGAUCAUAUCAAUCUUGGAACUACUUCCAACACACAUCGUCACUUCACCCUCAACUAGUCUCUAUUUAUUCUGUAACUCCUGUUUUGAGUUACUAAUAUUAGCAACCGAACAAGUAUCAAAUACCCAGGGGCUACUAUGAACACUAGUAAGGUACACAUCAAUAACUUGUAUAUCAAAUAUACCUAUGUUCACUUUGCCAUCCUUCUUAUCCGCCAAAUGUUUUGGGCAGUUCCACUUCCAGUGACCAUUUCCUUUGCAGUAGAAGCACUCAGUUUUAGGAUUAGGUCCAUCUUUGGGCUUCUUCACGGGAGUGACAACUUGCUUGCCAUUCUUCUUGAAGUUCCCUUUCUUUCCCUUUGCCCUUUUCUUGAAACUAGUGGUCUUGUUUAAUCAUCAACACUUGAUGCUCUUUCUUGAUUUCUACCUUCGUUGAUUUCAGCAUCAAGAAGAGCUCGGGAAUCGUUUUCGUCAUCCCUUGCAUACUAUAGUUCAUCACGAAGUUCCAGUAACUUGGUGGUGGUGACUAGAGAACGUUGUCAAUCACUAUCUUAUCUGGAAGAUUAACUCCCACUUGAUUCAAGUGAUUUUAGUACCCAGACAUUCUGAGCACAUGCUCACCAGUUGAGAAAUUCUCCUCCAUCUUUUAGGCAAAGUACUUGUCAGAGGUCUCAUACCUCUUGACACGGGCAUGAGUCUGAAAUACCAAUUUCAGCUCUUGGAACAUCUCAUAUGCUCCAUGUCGUUUCAAAAACGUUUUUGAAGUACCAGUUCUAAGACGUAAAGCAUGGUGCACUAAACUAUCAAGUAGUCAUCAUAUUGAGCUAGCCAAACGUUCAUAACGUCUGCAUUUGCUUCUGCAACAUGUCUGUCACCUAGCAGUGCAUCAAGGACAUAAUUCUUCUGUGCAGCAAUGAGGAUACACCUCAGAUCAUGGACCCAGUCUGCAUCAUUUCUACUAACAUCUUUCAACUUAGUUUUCUCCAGGAACAUAUAAAAAACAUAGGGAAGCUAUAACGCGAGCUAUUGAUCUACAACAUAAUUUGCAAAAAUACUAUCAGGACUAAGUUCAUGUUAAAUUAAAGUUCAAUUAAUCAUAUUACUUUAGAACUCCUACUUAGAUAGACAUCCCUCUAGUCAUCUAAAUGAUCACGUGAUCCAAAUCAACUAAACCAUGUCUGAUCAUCACGUGAGAUGGAGUAGUUUUCAAUGGUGAACAUCACUAUGUUGAUCAUAUCUACUAUAUGAUUCACGCUCAACCUUUCGGUCUUAGUGUUCCGAGGCCAUAUCUGCAUAUGCUAGGUUCGUUAAGUUUAACCUGAGUAUUCUGCGUGUGCAAAAUUGGCUUGCACCCGUUGUAUGUGAACGUAUAGCUUAUCACACCCGAUCAUCACGUGGUGUCUCGGCACGUGGGAAAACACCUAUACCUUGAAAUUUUAGUAAGGGAUCAUCUUAUAAUGCUACCAUCAUACUAAGAAAAAUAAGAUGCAUAAAAGAUAAACAUUGCAUGCAAUCAAAAUAUGUGACAUGAUAUGGCCAUCAUCAUCUUGUGCUCAUGAUAUCCAUCACCGAAGCAUCAUCAUGAUCUCCAUCAUCACCGCUGCGACACCUUGAUCUACAUCGUAGCAUCGUUGUUGUCUCGCCAACUAUUGUUACUACGACUACUGCUACCGCUUAGUGAUAAAGUAAAACAAUUACAUGGCGAUUACAUUGCAUACAAUAAAGUGACAACCACAUGGCUCCUGCCAGUUGCCGAUAACUUUGUUAAAAAACAUGAUCAUCUCAUACAAUAAUUUAUAUCACAUCAUGCCUUGACCAUAUCACAUCACAGUAAGCCCUGCAAAAACAAGUUAGACAUCCUCUACUUUGUUGUUGCAAGUUUUACGUGGCUGCUACGGGCUUCUAGUAAGAACUGUUCUUACCUACGCAUCAAAACCACAACGAUUUUUGUCAAGUGUGCUAUUUUAACCUUCGCAAGGACCGGCCGUAGUCAAACUCGAUUCAACUAAAGUUGGAGAAACAGACACCCGCCAGCCACCUUUGUGCAAAAGCACAUUGGUAGAACCAGUCUCAUGAACGCGUGAUACGUCUCCUUCGUAUCUACUUUUCCAAACACUUUUGCCCUUGUUUUGGACUCUAACUUGCAUUAUUUGAAUGGAACUAACCCGGACUGACAAUGUUUUCAGCAGAACUGCCAUGGUGUAAUUUUUGUGCAGAAAUCGAGGUUCUCGGAAUGACCUGAAACUCCACGGAAGUUACUUUUGGAUUUAAUAAAAAAUACUAGCGAAAGAAUCAAGGCCAGGGGGCCCACACCCUGUCCACGAGGGUGGGGGCUCCCCUCCCUGUAGGGCGGCCGCCCAGCCUUGUGGGCCCCCUGGGCUCCACCGACCUCAACUCCAACUCCAUAUAUUCACGUUCGAGGAGAAAAAACCCACAGAAAAAGAUUCAUCGCAUUUUACAUACGGAGCCGCCGCCAAGCCCUAAACUCUCUCGGGAGGGCUGAUCUGGAGUCCGCUCGGGGCUCCAGAGAGGGGAAUCCGUCGCCGUCAUCAUCAUCAACCAUCCUCCAUCACCAAUUUCAUGAUGCUCACCGCCGUGCAUGAGUAAUUCCAUUGUAGGCUUGCUGAACGGUGAUGGGUUGGAUGAGAUUUACCAUGUAAUCAAGUUAGUUUUGUUAGGGUUUGAUCCCUAGUAUCCACUAUGUUCUGAGAUUGAUGUUGCUAUGACUUUGCUAUGCUUAAUGCUUGUCACUAGGGCUCGAGUGCCAUGAUUUCAUAUCUGAACCUAUUAUGUUUUCAUGAAUAUAUGUGAGUUCUUGAUCCUAUCUUGCAAGUCUAUAGUCACCUAUUAUGUGUUAUGAUCCGACAACCCCGAAGUGACAAUAAUCGGGAUACUUCUCGGUGAUGACCUUAGUUUGAGGAGUUCAUGUAUUCACUAAGUGCUAAUGCUUUGGUCUGGUACUCUAUUAAAAGGAGGCCUUAAUAUCCCUUAGUUUCCAUUAGGACCCCACUGCCACGGCAGGGUAGGACAAAAGAUGUCAUGCAAGUUCUUUUCCAUAAGCACGUAUGACUAUAUUCGAAAUACAUGCCUAUAUCACAUUGAUGAACUGGAGCUAGUUCUGUGUCACCCUAUGUUAUACAUAUUACAUGAGGAAUCGCAUCCGACAUAAUUAUCCAUCACCUAUCCAAUGCCUAUGAGCUUUUCACAUAUUGUGCUUUGCUUAGUUACUUUACCAUUUCUACUAUUACAAUUACUACAAAACUGCUACUGUUACUUUUGCCAGUGUUGCCCUUACUUCCAUACUACUUUGCUACUAAAUACUUUGCUGCAGAUACUAAGUUAUCCAGGUGUGGUUGAAUUGUCAACUCAACUGCUAAUACUUGAGAAUAUUCUUUGGCUCCCCUUGUGUCGAAUCAAUAAAUUUGGGUUGAAUACUCUACCCUCGAAAACUGUUGCGAUCCCCUAUACUUGUGGGUUAUCAAGACUAUUUUCUGGCACCUUUGCCGGGGAGCAUAGCUCUAUUCUUUGAGUCACUUGGGAUUUAUAUCUGCUGAUCACUAUGAAGAACUUGAAAUACGAAAGAACUAAGAUUUAUCCCUCAACCACGAGGGGAGGUAAGGAACUGUCGUCUAGCUCUGCACUUGAUUCUCCUUCUUUUAUGAGUAAACAUGUGACACCUAAACCUUCUUCUGCUAAGAAUUCUGAUAUGUCGCAUGUUAUUGAUGAUGCCACUUUUGCUAUGGAUGAUACUUAUGAUGAAACUACUUCUAUGCUUGAUACUCCUGUGCCAUUAGGUGAAUUUCUUGAUGAACAACUUGCUAGGGCUAGGGAGAAUGAAAUUAUUGAAACUGAUAAUAUUGAUGAUAGGGAUGAUGAAGGUUCUCCCCCUAAAUAUGAAUUUCCUGUUGUUCCUAAGGGUUAUGUUAUGGAUGAAGAAACUGCUAGAGAUUUUCUUGCUUGCAAUGAUAGAUCAGAUCUUAAGAAAUUAUUAGCUAAGCUAAAAAAAAGUCUCUGAAUGCUAGAAUGAAACAUGACCCCACUUUUGCUACUUCACCUAUCUUUGUUACUGAUAAGGAUUAUGAUUUCUCUGUUGAUCCUGGGAUAAUUACUUUGGUUGAAUCUAAUCCUUUUUAUGGCAAUGAAUCUGAAAUUGUAGUGGCACAUCUUAGUAAGUUAAAUGAUAUAGCCACCAUGUUUACUAAUGAUGAGAAAUCUCGCUACUACUAUAUCCUUAAAAUAUUUCCUUUCUCAUUAAAGGGUGAUGCUAAAACAUGGUUUAAUUCUCUUGAUCCUGGUUGUGUGCGUAGUCCCCAGUAUAUGAUUUACUAUUUCUCUGCUAAAUAUUUCCCCGCUCAUAAGAAACAAGCUGCCUUAAGGGAGAUAUAUAAUUUUGUGCAAAUCAAAGAAGAGAGUCUCCCACAAGCUUGGGGGAGGCUUCUCCGAUUACUUAAUGCUUUGCCUGAUCAUCCUCUUAAGAAAAAUGAAAUACUUGAUAUCUUUUAUAAUGGACUAACCGAUGCUUCCAAAGACCACCUGGAUAGUUGUGCUAGUUGUGUUUUCAGGGAAAGGACAGUUGACCAAGCUGAAUUGCUAUUGAAUAAUAUGUUGACAAAUGAAAAUAAUUGGACACUUCCUGAACCAACUCCUAAGCCAACUCCGAAGAAAAGAGGUGUUCUAUUUCUCAGUCCUGAAGAUCUGCAAGAGGCAAAGAAAUCUAUGAAAGAGAAAGGUAUCAAAGCUGAAGAUGUUAAAAAUUUACCUCCUGUCGAAGAAAUACAUGGCCUUAAUAUACCACCGAUUAAAGAAAUGCAUGGUCUUGAUAACCCGACACAGGUAGUGAAGGUAAACUCUCUUUAUAGAUAUGAUAAAGUUGAAAUCCCGUCUACUAUGUUUGCUAGCCAAUGCUUGGAUGAAUUUGAUGACUUUAUGGCUAAACAAGAAAAUUUCAAUGCUUAUGUUAAUAGACAAUUGAAAAGUAAUUCUUAUAUGAUUGGACGCUUGAGUGAUUAUAUGUCUAGAGUUAAGGGUGAACUUAAACUUACUAGUAAACAUGCUUCGAUGGUUACCACUCAAGUAGAACAAGUGCUUAAGGCUCAGAAUGAAUUACUCAAUGAAUUAAAUGAUAAGAGAAAUGAUAAUGCUGCUAGAGUUAUGACUAGAGGUGGUAGAAUGACUCGGGAACCUUUGUAUCCUGAGGGCCACCCUAAGAGAAUUGAGCAAGAUUCUCAGGGAAAUAAUGCUGAUGCACCUGGUCCUUCUAAAAAGAAGAAAAAGAAAGAUGAUAGGACUUUGCAUGCUUCUAAUGAACCUGUUGUAGACAUACCUGAGAAUCCUAAUAAUAUCUCUAUCUCUGAUGCUGAAACACAAUCUAGUGAUGAAUAUCAACGUAGUGAUAAUGCUAAUAAUGAUGUUCAUGUAGAUGCUCAACCUAGCAAUAACAACGAUAUAGAAAUUGAACCUGCUGUUGAUCCUGAUAACCCACAAUUGAAGAAUCAACGUUAUGAUAAGAGAGACUUUGUUGCUAGGAAGCAUGGUAGAGAAAGAGAACCAUGGGUUCAGAAACCCAUGUCGUUCCCUCCUAAACCAUCCAAGAAAAAGGAUGAUGAGGAUUUUGAGCGCUUUGCUGAAAUGAUUAGACCUAUCUUUUUGCGUAUGCGUUUGACCGAUAUGCUUAAGACGAACCCUUAUGCUAAGUACAUGAAAGAUAUCAUUACAAAUAAAAGAAAGAUACCGGAAGCUGAAAUUUCCACCAUGCUUGCUAACUAUACUUUUAAGGGUGAAUACCUAAGAAACUCGGAGGUCCAGGAGUACCAACUAUACCGUGCUCCAUUAAAAGAAACAAUGUUAAAACUGAUUUAUGUGAUCUGGGAGCCGGUGUUAGUGUUAUGCCUCUUUCUUUAUAUCGUAGACUUGAAUUAAAUAAGUUGACCCCUACUGAAAUAUCUUUGCAAAUGGCCGAUAAAUCAACUACUAUACCUGUCGGUAUUUGUGAGGACGUGCAUGUUGUUGUUGCAAAUGUUACUAUCUUAACAUACUUUGUCAUUCUUGAUAUUCCCGAGGACGACAUUAUGUCGAUUAUCCUUGGUAGACCCUUUUUAAAUACAAUCGGUGCUGUUAUUGAUUGCAACAAAGGUAAUGUCAGCUUUCAUGUUAAUGGUAAUGAGCAUACGGUACACUUUCCGAGGAAACAACCUCAAGUUCACAGUAUAAAUUCUAUUGAAAAAAUUCCAUUAAUAAUUAUUCAAGGUUUUGAAUUUCCUCUUCCUACUGCAAAGAAGAAGUAUGAUAUUCUUAUUAUUGGGGAUGUUCAUUUCCCCGUUGAGGUAACCUAGUGUCAUUUCAAAAUUUCUCCGGUUUCAUGUGAUUCGGAAUGAGUUUGUUAACAAGACUUGAUCAACCUUGUUAGUGGAUUCCUUUUGAUGAGCAUGAGAUGGAUGAAGUUAGAAGACACAACUCUCUGUUCCUUGCUCUUACUUCCUGUUACUUCAAAUUAAUAAACUAAAAAUAGUAUAUUAUGUUUGUUUUCUGAAUUAUCCAUGCAAUAAAAAAUAUCCCGAAAAUAAAAGUUCUCCAAAUGCCUUGCCAAUUUAAUAUGAUUUUUAUAGAAUAUUUGAGAAUAUCUGGCAUUGAGAACACACCAGAGGGAGACAGCACCUAGCCAUGAGGGUCCAGGGCGCCCCCCUGGGGCACGCCCCUGCCUCGUGGGGCCCUGGUGGCCCUCCUCCACUUAUCCCUGCACCCAUGCUCUUGUUCUUCCUUCCAAAAAAAUCACCAACCAGCUCAAGCACGAGUUCUAGCUCAUUUUGCUACCAUUUUCGAUCUCCUUGCUCAAAGCUCCAUUCACAAAACUGCUUUGGGGGAUUGUUCUUUGGUAUGUGACUCCUCCAAUGGUCCAAUUAGUUUUUGUUCUAGUACUUUAUUCAUUGCAAAUUCUUGCUGCUAAGGUGACCCUGCUCUUGAGCUUGCAUGUCAAAUUUAGUUGGUCCCAAGUAGUUCUAAUGCAUGAUAUAGUCUCUAGGCACUUGUGGGAGUAGUUGCUAUCAAUCUUAUUGAGUUUGUUUUACUUUUGUUUUGAGUUACUAAAAAUUUCAGAAAAUUUUCAGAGAAAAAUGCAUAGAAAGUUGUAUCAAGGUGGUUUUUCAAGGAAGCAAGGACCGAGGCUCGCAAUACGUGAGCCAGACGAUGAACCACCUAGGGAAGCUUACGUGCGGCCUUGUGAAUGGCCGUUAGAAGAGUUCAUGGUUAGAGCAGGCAUUAAGGAUGAAUUUGAUGCAUAUGUGCGUAAUGCUGGUCUUGAGGAAUUCAUGCAAGAUAAGUGCCCUCAAUACCAAUAUUUAACUCAUUCAUUUGUGAGAAGGUUUAAAUUUACAUCUUUGCGUAAUUCUCACAAUGAUUGUGUUUGAUCUUUAUGAUAAAUCCUAUACCAUGGACUUAGAAGAUUUUACUACUGCUUGCAAACUCCCACAAUGGGGUAGUGCUAGUGAACCUCACAAAUCUGGAUUUAAAGAUUUUCUUGCUAGUAUCACUGUGGGGGAAUCCAGAUAAAUAGCACAAGCUACCAUAGGGAGCAUUCAUUUUCCCGCUAUACAUUAUUUUUCUCUCUUUAUAUGUAGAUGCAUAAAUGGUAAAGAGGAGGCAUGUCACAUGUGUGUUCCUGAUCUUAGUGUUCUCAGGAGUGCGGUGUUAGGAGAUAAGCAAUACAACCUGGGGGGCCAUCGUUGCACGUUGGUUGCAUAAUAAUGGUUUACUUGGAAACCUGUUUGGUGGAAUUUAUGCAACCUAUAUGGCUAAUUUCCCUGGGAUACCCAUACAUGAAAAUGAUAGAGAGUUGCUUACUGCUUAUCUAGAUUAUAAUGCCAUGGUUAACCAUCAGUUUCUUGAAAGGAAUGAACAAUCCCUCCAGUAUCGACUAAUCUUUGACAGACGUCGCGCUGUCCAUAUUACUCUCCCUGCUCCUGCUUUCUUUGACUAUCAGACAAAAGGAAGAUAUAUUAUAACCAGGGAGGAGGCGAACGAGUACGAGAGGGGGACGGAGGCAGCUCGCCGCCAGGCUGCCACUCGUGAGGCAAUGGCUGCUGCAUCUCAGUACGACCCCAGCUACAACUUCGGAUAUCCACCAGGCCAUCCUUGGGCAUAGACCAACUUAGGCCAAAGGCCUAAGCUUGGGGGAGUACGUAUUUCUCACUGGCAUUAAAUUCAUGUUCACACACGCUCAUUCUAGUUGUCGGUGCUCAUACUUUUUUGAUUGUACUAUCCAUGCUAGUUUAGUUUAUUUUCUAGCUUUCUUCUCGUGUGUUUAAAUAAUCUUAAGAAAAACAAAAAAAAUUAGUAAUAGCUUAGUUUAUUUUCCAUGCCUAUAGUACUAAUUAAAAGAAAACCCCAAAAGAUUUCUUGUUCUUCUUUUGCUUGUUGGGAGCUUGCCCGUGUAAAUAUUUUUAUUUCAUUUCUUUGGGGGUUGAAAGGAUAAGAUCUUAAUGAAAUUGUUGAGUGGAUCUUCUAUGCAUAAUUGAUUGAUUUAACCAAGAGCCCAUAUUAUCUUGUCUUCUCUCUUGAAUUGAAUGCUUGCAGAUUCCAGCUUAGUCCAAUGCACGUGCACUAUUAUUAUUAUCCGCACCGUUCGGUCGUGCAAGUGAAAGGCAAUAAUGAUGAUAUAUGAUGAAAUGAUUGAGAUAAGAGGAGCUGGUAUGAACUCGACCUAUCUUGUUUUUAUAAAUAUGAUUAGUUCAUCGUUCCUGAUUCAGCCUAUUAUGAAUAAAAAUGUUUGCAAUGACAAGUAGAGAUUAUAGUUGCUUAUGUCAUGCUUAAUUAGCUAGGAGUCUAUAAUGGUUUACCUUGUGUGCCAACAUGCUAUUAAAAUGGUUGUGAUGUGGUAUGAUAGGGUGGUAUCCUCCUUUGAAUGAUCCGAGUUACUCGACUUGGCACACGUUCACGCAUGUAGUUGAAACAAAAUCAACAUAGCCUUCACGAUAUUUAUGUUCAUGGUGGAUUAUAUCCUACUCAUGCUUGCACUCAGUGUCUAUUAAUUUUAAUGCAUGUUCAUGACUAUUGUCGCUCUCUAGUUGGUCGCUUCCCAGUCUUUUUCUAGCCUUCACUUGUACUAAGCGGGAAUACUGCUUGUGCAUCCACUUCCAUAAAUCCCAAAGUUAUUCCAUAUGAGUCCACCAUACCUUCCUAUAUACGGUAUCUACCUACCAUUCCAAGUAAAUUUGUAUGUGCCAAACUCUAAACCUUCAAAUGAAAUUUUGUUUCAUAUACUUGAACAACUCAUGUAUCAAUUGGGGCUGUCUGUAUCUUCCAUGCUAGGCGGGUUAUUCUCAAGAGGAGUGGACUCCGCUCCUCACUCACGAGAAAAUGGCUGGUCACCGGGAUGCCUAGUCCCAUGCUCAAAUAAAAUCAAAAUAAUUGCAAACAAAACUCCUCUAGGAUUGUUGUUAGUUGGAGGCACCCGUUGUUUCGGGAAAGCCAUGGAUUGAUGCUUGUUGGUGGAGGGGGAGUAUAAACUUUACCAUUCUGUUUGGAAACCGCCUAUAAUGUGUGUAGCAUGGAAGAUAUCAAGAUCUCUUGGUUGUUAUGUUCACAAUGAAAGUAUACCACCCAAAAUAUUAUUAUCUCUGUUUCAAAAAUCGAGCUCUGGCACCUCUACACAUCCCUGCUUCCCUUUGCGAAGGGCCUAUCUAUUUACUUUUUUGUUGAGUCAUCACCGUCUUAUUUAAAAGCACCAGUUGGAGAGCACCUCUGUCAUUUGCUUGCAUUACUAUUAGUUUAUAUUGGGUAUGACUAUGACUGGAUCUCUUUUACCAUGAAUUACAAUGUUUAGUCAGUCCUUGAUCUUUAAAGGUGAUCUGCAUUUAUGUUUUGUGGUCUCAGAAAGGGCUAGCAAGAUACCAUCUUGUUAUAUCAUAUUAUGAUUGUUUUGAGAAAGUGUUGUCAUCCGAGUUUUAUUAUUAUUUCCCGCUAGUUGAUCAUGCCAUUGAUAUGAGUAAACAUGAGACCUAAGUGUUAUUGUGAAUAUGGUUAGUUCAUAAUCCUUGCUGAAAACUUGAAUGAUGGCUUUACAUAUUUACAACAACAAGAGCAAACAGAGUUUGCAAAAGUUUUUCUUUAUCACAUUCAGUUUAUCAACUGAAUUGAUUGAGGACAACCGAAGGUUUAAGCUUGGGGGAGUUGAUAUGUCCCCGUCGUAUCUACUUUUCCAAACACUUUUGCCCUUGUUUUGGACUCUAACUUGCAUGAUUUGAAUGGAACUAACCCGGACUAAUGCUAUUUUCAGCAGAACUGCCACGGUCUUAUUUUUCUGCAGAAAUAGAAGUUCUCGGAAUGACCUGAAACUCCACGAAAUUUACUUUUGGAUUUAAUAUAAAAUACUGGCGAAAGAAUCAAGGCUAGGGGGCCCACACUCUGUCCACGAAGGUGGGAGGCGCGCCCCCCUAGGGUGCGCCCCCCUCUCUCGUGGCCCCCCUGGUGCUCCACCGGCCUCAACUCCAACUCCAUAUAUUCACGUUCGGGGAGAAAAAACCCAGAGAAAAAGAUUCAUUGUGUUUUACGAUACGGAGCCGCCGCCAAGCCCUAAACUCUCUCGGGAGGGCUGGUCUGGAGUCUGUUCGGGGAUCCAGAGAGGGGAAUCCAUUGCCGUCAUCAUCAUCAACCAUCCUCCAUCACCAAUUUCAUGAUGCUCAUCGCCAUGCAUGAGUAAUUCCAUCGUAGGCUUAUUGGACGGUGAUGGGUUGGAUGAGAUUUACCAUGUAAUCAAGUUAGUUUUGUUAGGGUUUGAUCCCUAGUAUCCACUAUGUUCUGAGAUUGAUGUUGCUAUGACUUUGCUAUGCUUAAUGCUUGUCACUAGGGCCCGAGUGCCAUGAUUUCAGAUUUGAACCUAUUAUGUUUUCAUGAAUAUAUGUGAGUUCUUGAUCCUAUCUUGCAAGUCUAUAGUCACCUAUUAUGUGUUAUGAUCCGACAACCCCGAAGUGACAAUAAACGAGAUACUUCUCGGUGAUGCCCGUAGUUUGAGGAGUUCAUGUAUUCACUAAGUGCUAAUGCUUUGGUCCGGUACCCUAUUAAAAGGAGGCCUUAAUAUCCCUUAGUUUCCAUUAGGACCCCGCUGCCACGGCAGGGUAGGACAAAAGAUGUCAUGCAAGUUCUUUUCCAUAAGCAUGUAUGACUAUAUUCGGAAUACAUGCCUACAUUACAUUGAUGAACUGGAGCUAGUUCUGUGUCACCCUAUGUUAUACCUAUUACAUGAGGAAUCGCAUCCGACAUAAUUAUCCAUCACAUAUCCAAUGCCUACGACCUUUUCACAUAUUGUGCUUUGCUUAGUUACUUUAUCGUUCCUAUUGUUACAAUUACUACAAAACUGCUACUAUUACUUUUGCCACUGUUACCGUUACGUCCAUACUACUUUGCUACUAAAUACUUUGCUGCGGAUACUAAGUUAUCCAGGUGUGGUUGAAUUGAAAACUCAACUGCUAAUACUUGAGAAUAUUCUUUGGCUCCCUUGUGUCAAAUAAAUAAAUUUGGGUUUAAUACUCUACCCUCGAAAACUGUUGCCAUCCCCUAUACUUGUGGGUCGUCAUACGUCUCCCACUACAAAAAACAGACACAUCCGUGACAUUUUGGGCCGAACGAAAUUUUUUUCUGGCAUACAUAUGACACUUCUAUGACGAUAAUUGUGAAAAAACCCGGUAUCAUCAUAGAUGUGGUGGGCUCCUACUUCUAUGACAAAAAAUCAUGACAGAAAAUGGGCUUUUCGUCCUGGGCGGGCCGGAGACGCAGCUGCAUGACAUUCUUUGGGCCUUCCAUGACGGAAAAAACCAUGGUAGAAGCGAGGGGGAGGAAAAUUUCAGGGAGUUGCCGGUUACGGUGGGAGGUCGGGGCCGAGCGAUGCACGUUUCUCUCGUACAUGUACGCGCGUGUGUGCGAGGCGUUGGCUCUAACUGAACCCGAGUGAGGCGUUGGGCUCUAACUGAACCCGAGCGAUUGCACUGCAGGCUACGCGUUACUGAACCAGAGCGAUCGAUCGAUGGCUGUUAACUGAACCCGAUGGAGCGAUUCCUUCGCUACUGCUGCUAACNNNNNNNNNNNNNNNNNNNNNNNNNNNNNNNNNNNNNNNNNNNNNNNNNNNNNNNNNNNNNNNNNNNNNNNNNNNNNNNNNNNNNNNNNNNNNNNNNNNNNNNNNNNNNNNNNNNNNNNNNNNNNNNNNNNNNNNNNNNNNNNNNNNNNNNNNNNNNNNNNNNNNNNNNNNNNNNNNNNNNNNNNNNNNNNNNNNNNNNNNNNNNNNNNNNNNNNNNNNNNNNNNNNNNNNNNNNNNNNNNNNNNNNNNNNNNNNNNNNNNNNNNNNNNNNNNNNNNNNNNNNNNNNNNNNNNNNNNNNNNNNNNNNNNNNNNNNNNNNNNNNNNNNNNNNNNNNNNNNNNNNNNNNNNNNNNNNNNNNNNNNNNNNNNNNNNNNNNNNNNNNNNNNNNNNNNNNNNNNNNNNNNNNNNNNNNNNNNNNNNNNNNNNNNNNNNNNNNNNNNNNNNNNNNNNNNNNNNNNNNNNNNNNNNNNNNNNNNNNNNNNNNNNNNNNNNNNNNNNNNNNNNNNNNNNNNNNNNNNNNNNNNNNNNNNNNNNNNNNNNNNNNNNNNNNNNNNNNNNNNNNNNNNNNNNNNNNNNNNNNNNNNNNNNNNNNNNNNNNNNNNNNNNNNNNNNNNNNNNNNNNNNNNNNNNNNNNNNNNNNNNNNNNNNNNNNNNNNNNNNNNNNNNNNNNNUGAACAAUAUUCCGUGGAGUCCCGUUUUGCGGUACGCCACACCCCUCCCGAUGAACAUGACCGCCGUUUCGACCGUAGGAGGUCCGUUUCCUCCGUUUUGCGGUAUGCCACACCCCUCCCGAUGAACAAGACCCCCGUUUCGACCAUAGGAGGUCCGUUUCCUCCGUUUUGUGGUACGCGACACCCCUCCCAAUCAACAGGACCCCCGUUUCGACCGUAGGAGGUCCGUUUCCUCCGUUUUGCGGUACCCCACACCCCUCCCGAUCAACAGGACCCCGUUCCGAACGUGGCCGGUCGAACACAAGGCCGUAUCCUCCAUUCUGCGGUACGCCAGGCCUCGUUUCCAUCGCCUGCUCCGUCCAAGCCGGUUGGCUCCCACGCGUUCCGUUGCCUCCCGAUGAACACGACGCAUUCCGUUGCCUCCCCAUGAACAUGAUGCAUUCCAUUGCCUCCCCAUGAACACGAGCCCUCGCCAUAUGUAUGCGCGACUAAGCAUUCGAGACCCCGCCCAUAUGUACACAUAUGUGGCCGUAUUUUCUUUCUUGCACCCUGGCUGCUGUAUGUACAUGUACAUGCUACGUGCGUGCCUAUACUACGACACGUGCGCGCCUCUACUACGACAUGUGCGCGCCUCUACAUCGACCAGUAUGUACGUACACGUUCGUGACCAGGAUGACAACACUACGUACGCUUCGACCAGGUGGGUCCCGACUGUCAGACACUUCCUUGCCUGCGAAGAUGUAGCUGGUGGGUCCCAGCAGUCAGGGGGGCGAAUCGUUUUGUUUUUAUUUUUUUUGCCCGGACGCACUUCCUUGCGUGCGAAGGUGUAGCUGCUGGGUCCCAGCAGUUAGGGGGGCGAAUCAUUUUUUUUGCCCGGACGCACUUCCUUGCGUGCGAAGGUGUNNNNNNNNNNNNNNNNNNNNNNNNNNNNNNNNNNNNNNNNNNNNNNNNNNNNNNNNNNNNNNNNNNNNNNNNNNNNNNNNNNNNNNNNNNNNNNNNNNNNNNNNNNNNNNNNNNNNNNNNNNNNNNNNNNNNNNNNNNNNNNNNNNNNNNNNNNNNNNNNNNNNNNNNNNNNNNNNNNNNNNNGAAGGUGUAGCUGGUGGGUCCCAGCAGUCGGGGGGCGAAUCGUUUUUUGGGACGAACUUCCUUGCGUGCGAAGAUGUAGCUGGUGGGUCCCAACAGUCAGGGGGGCGAAUCGUUUUUUUUUUCGGACGCACUUCCUUGCGUGCGAAGAUGUAGCUCGUGGGUCCCAACAGUCAGGGGGCCAAUCAUUUUUUUCGCGAAAUACGGUGGCCCAUCCGGUGGGUCCAUGUUGUCAGGUGGAGGAAUAAUUAUUUUGCGCGUAAUAAGGAAGCACUUCCUUGCGGCCGCCGUUGACCCAACUGUCAGCCUCUCCAUGUAUAGUCCACGUCCGAUGGAAGUCGUUCCUUGACCACGUUGACCACGCCGCGCCGAGAACACCACGGCGGUGGACGACGGCGAGGCCUAGUAAGGGGACGACGAGGAGCCAGGGAAGACGCGGCAGUGGAUGCACACGCGGAGAGGAGUACAAGGGUUCACUGGUUCGGCUGUGCUACCAUCGCCGCAGAAUAACAGGGGGUGUGGGUGAGUGGAGGGAUGGCCUGGCCAGCGGUGGGAGUAGUAUGGGGCGGUGAGGCCUCCGCGGCAGCACAGCCGUCCAUGGGAGGCAGGAGCAGGCGACACGACCGGCGCUGCUUUGGGCGGCUGGAGCAAGAAGACCAGAGGUUGAAGAAGCACGAUGGCCGUUGGAUGGACAUCGUACGGUCACUGCAGCUAGAAUCUUUUAAUAUUGACUAAGUUGACAAAGCCCUUGGUACAUCAACUUAGUAGGACCACAGGUCAGCUUCCGAAACGGUGCGCCCCAGAUGUCUGGGGGAGGAAUCAUUUUUUGGGCGGGUGAAGCUAGAAUAUCCGAGAUUGAAGAAGAAGCACGGCAUCCGUUGGAUGGACAUCCAACGGCCACUGGUGCUAGAACCGUGUGUUGACUAUAAGUUGACAAAGCCUUGCAUACGCGUCAACUCUGUUUUUUUAGGGGACGCGUCCACUUAGUAAGGCCAGAAGUGUGUGGCAGAGAACUUAUAGCCCAUUUGAGAUUUGUAAGAAUGUGUAGCCCAUUUUUGAAUUCUAAUGGAAUUUACUACAGCCCAUUUAUAGUUUGUUAAAAGUACAGCCCAUUUCAACCAACCGUUCAAAACAGGAUUCAAUAAAAUUUCCCACAUUUUGAUGGGAUCCGAAUAUUUUUAUCCCGAAAUUCCUAGUCAGAUUAAAUACAAUUUCAAUAUGAAUUUAUAUUACGUAAAAAUCCAACGAAACAUUGAGCUCGCAACAAUUAAUGAAAUUAAAAUUUUCAAUAUUCCAAAAAUAAUAUUUUAUAAAGUAAUCACUGUAUGGUGCCUUUUUUUAUAGUUACUACCCAAUUUUUAAUAAUUACAUCCCAUUUAUUAUUUCUUAAAGCCCAUUUUCUUGUUAAGCCUAAUGCAUCCCUCCUAGGAAAGAUUUGCAGCCCAGCGGGGCGGAGAAUAACAACUUGACCUUGCCUGGGUAUUCCUCAAAAAAAGUAUAGCUGGGCUAGCUAUUUUCAGUUUGAAAAAAAUUAAUAUCUGGGCUGGAUAUCUGGCCUGGGCUAGACGGGCCACAACCCGCCUAGUUAAUACCUGCAGCGAUGUUUUUGUUGUUGUUCAUAGGAGAAAAAAUAAUAUCUGGGGUAAACAUCGAAAAACUCUGUAGUGCUCACACCUCAAAAACACAAAUACUGCUCGAGCUGCUUGGUCCCAGCUGUCGGCCGCUUCUUGUGCAAUUCUCUCGUUUAUUGACUACUCCCUCCUUUCUGGUUUAUAAUGCUCAAUUCAAAAAUCUCACCAAUCAAGGUAGAUGGCGAGUGGUGGAAUACUUUUUGUAGUUUUGCAAAAGCACCUAAUUAAUGCUCUUGUUAUCCUCAAAAAAUUAUGUUUAUCAACGCAUUAAUUGCAAUGCAUGCAUGCAUAAAGUACAUGCAUUGGUCAAUUUUCUCUUAAUACUUGCAUGCAAUGAUUUAAUGCACCUUGGAAUCUGAACAUGUGAUGGAAAACAACCAAAUUGAGCCUUAUAAAAUGGAAAAACUAAAAUUUUGAGAUAAGCCCUAUAAACCGGAAAGGAGGGAGUACAUAGGUUGACAAUGGUGUGGGACCGUGAUGUCAGGAAAUCAGGAGGAAGCAAAAUAAAUUAUAGUUAUAUAUAUAUAUAUAUAUAUAAUAAGGAGGCACUUGCGUACGUGAGGCUAUGGACCUGGUGGGUCCCCAUUGUCAUCCUAUCCAAGUAAAGUCAUCUCCUCGCCCGCGCGCGCUUUCUGCCCGAAACAGUCAGUGCCGGCCGCCCCGCUUCCCGGUGCAGGCGAUUGCUCCACCUUCAAACGACACAAGUGCCGUCCGUCCGUCCAUCUGCCGCACACAUUAAUGAUAUGCCAUUGCCGAGGCGGCUACUCCGGCGCCACACGUCCGUUCCUCCGCCCGCCCACCAUUGCUAUAUAAACUGCUGCGCCGGCCAUAGCCAUAGUCAUCCUCAUCUGUUCCCUUUCUCCUGUCCACACCACUACUGCCCACCAUGGCUUCCUCGCGCUCCAGCGCUCUUCGGGACGGGCGGACGACAGACCACAAGGAGAUGGCAGCCAUUGCCGCCGACCGGCUGGCCGACAGGCAGCCGGAGGACGACGACGUCCCAAUGGAGAACAUGGUAGUCGACAAUCUGGCGCCAACCCCCUCCUCCGCGCCAUCCUCGCCGGUGCAUUCCACCAUAACCAUAGCCGAGGCCCGUGCCCAAUAUAUGGAUAGGGUGAGGCAGAUGCGUGAGGAGCAGUUCCGGGAGGCGCAAGCCGACGCCGCCUAGAACCACUAUCUCCUCCAGGAGCACCUGCAGGCGGAGGAGCAGAUCGCCGUGGAGCGGGCGGAGCAGGAGGCGCUGCUCGACUCGUACUGCUCCGCCCGCAAGGGCCGCCUCGAUCGCUGGCGGUACCGCAUGCGGGCGGCGGCUGCGGCCGCCUACAAAUAGACUAGCAAAGAGGGCGAUGAAGCAGGCGAGGCACUGUUUGGCGAGACCGAGGACGAGGCAGAGGACAAUGCCGGCUCCGACGAGUCCCCGCUCCGCUGGCAUCAACGACGCCCUGCUCCACCGAGGCCCCGUGGUGCCAACAACAAGGCAAAGGACACCGCCGGCUCCGCUGAGGCCCCGCCCCGCCAACAACGAGGUAGAGGACAUCGCCGGCUCAGCCAAGGCCCCACGCUGCCGGCAACGUGGGGGAGGAUUUCCACCGCUUCGCUGAGGCGCCGCCCGCCGACAAUGAGACAGAGGACAUCGCCGGCUCCGCCGAGGCCCCGCCCCGCUGCCAACGAGGCCGCGCCACACAGAAAAUGAUGAAGAGUACAGUAGGUCGCCGCCGCUCGGGUCCAAGUAAGGCCACCGCUGCUACCCUCCGGUUGAAGCCAAGUUAGGCGGGUUGACCAUUGACGGCCAAUUAGCUUCUUGGCAGCGACGUGGAGUCGGAGACCUGCACUGGAGAAGAACACUGCUUCUACUUAACUGCUGGUGCAUUUGGCUGACUGACACGUGGGCCUAACAGGCCACAUGUCAGUUACGCAACUGAACCUGCAGUUAAGUCACUCAAGCUUCUGUUCGUCUCAGCGGGACAUAGGUGGGUAGCUUCUGUUAAUUAAUUAUACCUCCAGUGCACCCCUUUUUAGUUUUUUUAGAAAAGGAGGAUGACCCCCGGCCUCUGCAUCUGGGAGAUGCAUGCAGCCACAAACACCCCUUUUUAGUUGAAGAAUGUAUGAAAUGUAAUUAAAUCUGGCAUGUUUAUAUGAAAUCCGACCAUGUAUGAAUGAAUUUAUUUCGAUUAGUUCGAAUUCCUGUAUCCCUGGCAUUGGAUGAACAUGCAAAACAAUACGUACUAGCAUUAUUCCUAGGGUGAUCAACUCGUUUGCAACAGUUUCACAUGUACUCCCUCCAGUCCUUUCUAUACAUGUUUUGUCUGCAGUCAAAGUAUCUCUACUUUGACCAUUCUUAUACAAAAAAGUAUGCACUUUCACAAUGUGCAAAGUAAAAAGGAACAGAAGGAGUACAAAGAGUUUGAGCAGCUUUUUAGCGUUUCUAUACAUUGCAAUCAAACACACAGGGCUGACAAUUCAUAGAGAACAUUCAAAACAAUCGAUGAUUAUGCAUCUCAGCGACUCACAUGUUAGAGGCAAUAUUUACUUCACAACUAAAGAAUAAAGAAAAAAUUGAUUGACGCUGCUGACAGCAAGGGCGUCCCAUUCGAAAAUAUCAAACGCAUGUCUUAAAAUCAAUGAGAAAAAUUUGACAAGGUUGUCCCAUUCCAAAAUAUCAAAUGCCUACGAUUCUGGAAUGGGCAGGGUUUGCCAUCAGUUAGGACAUUGACAUGGCACCUCGUGCUAAAUAAACCAACUGUUCUUUUUGUGCAGUUCCACCAAAAUCAACCAAAUUCACGUGUAGCUUGUAUGAUUUUUCCCUUAUAUGUUGCAACACCUUGAACUUAUCGGCACCUCCUUUCUUGUGGUGGAAAUGAAUGAUUCAAUGUAUCCAUGAACAUUUUGUGCAGUUCCCAUUGAAAUCAAGCUGAUCACCCCUGUUUGCACAAAUACAAAAAAAGUUAUUAGUAUAAAGAAAAAUGUACUAUGAAUUGACAGUUUAAAUAGGCACCUUCAUGGUCCAUGUAGAGCACACAUUUUUAGAAAAAUGGAACUCACCAGAAAGAAUCCUAGAACAACAUUGUACUCGCGCAUCACAACAAAAAAAUGGAGAUUUGUCAGUCCUUCCAAGCUGAAGUUAGUUUGGUCUUGUGGGGAGUAAUGUAACCAUCCUUCAACUGCUCCUUCUGAUGAGAAUCCUAGAACAACAUUGUACUCGCGCAUCACAGCAAAAAAAUGGGGAUUUGUCAGUACUUUUGAGCUGAAGUUAGUUUGGCCUUGUGGGGAGUAAUGUAACCAUCCUUCAACUACUCCUUCUGAUGAGAAGAUAGACAUGGCUUCUUCAUCCUGGCAUAAUCGAAACUAGUCACUUCACGUACUCCAUAUUCUUCUUCAGAGGAAGAUGAUCCUAUUGUGCAAAGACAAGAGGACAACUAAAUGCUAGCAUCCCUAUUUGCUCGAAAAAAAGGAAAGGAAAUAUUUAAAACAACACAGAUGAAGCACUUCUCAAGGACAAUACCACUUUUUCAUGACAGUAUCUAAAUAGUAGCACAACGCCAAUAGAGAUGACAAAGCUCAAUCAUAUGGAUGAAUUAGUGGGCGAGUACCAACCUUUGUCAGCAGCCUUAUUGUGUAGAGCAUACAGAUCAAGCACUUCUCCAGAACCAUCUGUUGCUAUCUACUAUGGUGGCCAUGCUUACUAUAUACUCCUCGAUUAGUUUAAUGUUUCCAACAUCUUUUUGUGCAGUUCCACUAAAAUAUAUGGUAUCUUCAAAGAAGAUCCCUGUUUGCACAAGUAGAGAUAAUUACGUAUGGCAUCAAAUCAGUGGCAAAACAAUUGCUCGUUCCAGCCAUAGCAAUAAAUUAAGAUGCAAAACUAUAUCAUUACUUGUGUCAUCACAGUUCGAGUGCUUCAUUACAACACCGGGAGUUGAUUUUUGUUUUUCUUCCGCUUGUUCUUCCCCUUCAUCACUUGGUUCAAUAACAGACAAGCUUCGCCUUCAAUGUAAGAUUUGGCAUCUCAAUUAGGGAGCACAAGUAUAGUACUAAACUUAAUUUUCUGAUGAAAUUGGCAAAAUACAGGCCAUCAGUUGUGAAAUAUCCUUAUCUUACCUCAAUGGGAUAUUACGGUGCACAUACAAAUUGGAAGUCUUGUCUCCAUUUGUGCAGUUCACUGAAAUCAAGCAACAUUAUCGUACAAGUAGCACAACAUAUGAAAGCAGACUGCAGAAUCAUGUGAAAGAAGGCUAGUACUGACCUCUCAUGAUGCGGAAUUCAAACAACUCACAAGAAGAAGAUCUGAACCAAAUUCGCCUUAACGGAUAGGAAGUAAGAUCUUCUCUUGUGCAGUUCCACUAAGAUCAAGCAAUCAAGCAACAUUGUCGGUGUGACAUUUUGGUUGAACUGCACAAAACACUCUUAAAACAAAAGUGUUUUGUGCAGUGCAACAAAAGGUCACAAUGGCAACGAGGUGAAGUAGAUAACCCUAUUUACACAGCGGUGCAAAGGAAACAAUUAGUAGUCAAUAACGGUGGAUGAAACAGAAGCCAACAAAAAGAAGCAUCUACCUUAUCUAAAUGGGAAAGAAAGCAAGACAGUAGCAUUUCUCAAAUGGUGGCAUUGAUUAAUAUUAACAUAGAGAUUAUAUUAACAAUAAAAUUCGUUAAACAUGCAAUUUGCUUUUAACUGUGGCAUUGCAUCAAUUUUCCUGUGGCAUUAUUAGAAGGUGUUUGUUUACAGGGACAUUUUGGUGUAGGGACUAUAAAAACUCCGUGUCUGUCACAUCUAAACCAAACAGGAGGGACUUCCCGGGACUAAAAGUGGGCAUUUGGGACUAAAGAAAGAAGACCCGAGGGAGUCCUUUUUGGGACUUUUUCCAACAGUUGCCCCUGCCACGCAUCGCACCUUGUUUCUAUUAGUUCAUUACUAGGGGUAACAUGGUCUUUUAUCAUGUCAUUUAAUAACCUCUAGUCCAUGUUUAGUCCCUGGAACCAAGCAGGUAGGGACUAGGGAGUUUUUAACCAAACAGGGCCUUAGAUUAACAAUAGCUAAUGAGUUGCACGGGACAGUGGACGCACCAACACCAUGUGCAUCUACCGAUGUACUGUGGUCAUGCACAAUCUGUUGCAACAAAGAACAAACAACCAAGGAGCAUAUUUGUGUUGGUCCAGUUUUGUUAUCUUUAGACACCUUUCCCUAUGUGAGCGCAGCAAAUGUAGUCCUGCUAAAACUCUAUAGCCUUGUCCCUUCCUUUCCUUUUUGAACUAGUACUUUCGCCCCUUCCUUUCCUCUUUGAACCAUGUCCUAGAUUUAUGCGAUACAACUUUCCCCACUACUUUCCCCCAUUCCUUUCCUCUUUGAACCACGUCCUAGAUUCAUGCUAUACAACUUUCACCCUUCAUUUCCUCUUUGAACCACGUCCUAGAUUCAUGCUAUAUACAACUUUUCCCACUACUUGCCCCCACUCCUUUCCUCUUUGAACCACGUCCUAGAUUCAUGGUAUACAUGCAGCUAGAGCAAUGCAUGUGGAGUAAGUAAAAUAUACCUUAAGGUUCUUGGGGCGUGGUUCGGUGGGUGACGGGACGGUGGCGAAGAAGAAGGGGUCGGAGGCCCUCCCGCGCCGCCGCUGGGUGGAAAGUGAACAGCAGCGCCGGUAGUGGAUUCCCUCCCUCACCGACAGCGACAGUGUUAAGCCUCCUUCCCUUCCCGGCGAACGGAUCCUGCCGGCUCUUUGAGCAGCAGUGAGGGGAGAGAGAGGCCAACGAAGUCUUGUUUAGAUCUGGAGAGGGCGAGAGAGUGUGAAGAGAGCAACUACAAGCGCUGAGGCUCUAGCGUGUAUAUAUAUACUGGAGAGAGAGUGUGAAGCGUGCAAACCCUAGAAAACAUUUUGACCAGUCAAAGAAUCCUCCUGGCAAAAAUUAUGCUCAAGUGUAGUUAUCGAACCCGAGACCUCAAGUUUGAUGAGCGAACAGGCUAACCAGCUACACAACCCUCCCGUUAUGUUCAAUGAGAGGAAAAUGACCUUUUAUACAUUCCUGCAUUCGUGUGACAUGCAUGCCGUGUUUUUUUUGUGUGCGUGGGAGUCAUUAGGAUUUCAAUCAUAAUCGUGUCAUGUGGCUUUGGUGGUAAGACUAUCCACAGUGAUGCAGAAAUAAUGCAGCCUUAGUCACCUUACUUCUCUCCACCUAGUAUGUUGGGUCCCACCAGUCAGAGGGUGAAACAAACAAAUUAAUAAGAAAAAUUAAAAUCGCCAGUGGUGUAUUUUACUACCUCACACAUCUCGCUACUGCUCGGGAACACUGUCUAACUGAUCCCUCUGUUCGCCCACGUACUAUUUUAAGUGAAUCCUUAUUAUAACAUGCACACAAAUUUUGGGCACUUGUAUUCGACUUAAGUCAGUGUGCCACCGUAUCUCGUAUACUUACUACUCCCUCCAUCUAGGUGUAAUAAUUCACGUUAGAAGGUGCAACAGGACCAAGGGGUGUGUGUGUGCGUGUGUGUGUUUAACAACAUGUGUGUGUUAGAGAGUGCGACAGAUCGACCUACUCCUACAGAGAUAUGGUGUGUAGUGUAUGAUUUUAGCCGCGAGAGUCGGUGCAUCCUCUCGUUUCCGGGCGUGUCCAGUAGGGACAUGCGGAUAGCUGCCAUGCCCGCUCCUAACCAGCCUGGCCCACCCAAAGCCCCUCCAUCACCCGCGCAUGCUUCCCCCCCUAAACGGUCAGCGCCGCUCCAAAGAAUCGGUGCCGCAUUCAUGCCACGGCAGAGCGGACGCGACCUCUCACUGGCGCAAGAGUGAUGGUUGCUUUGUCUGUCCAACUUACUGCUGGGUCUAUGUGAUUUGACGGCUCAUUGGUCUUUAUUACUGACGUGGUAGGACUGCUGGAUGUCCCACACUUUCGGCAAAAGGAGGUAGUAGAUUACAAUUUUCUCCAUUCUUACAGCGGAGGAGUGCAAGAGCAGUGAAAACAUGCAGGCUCAGUGAUUACAUGGCCCACCUCACACUAUCACCGUGCGACACCUAACUCUUUACAUAGUACUCCCUCCGUUCCUAAAUAUUACUAGAUGAGUCCCCGCGCGUUCCACGGAACAGCGGUAUAUAUCUCUGCGCAAAAUUAUCGGUUUCAUAGAACUAAAAAAAUCUAUAACCGCAUGACAAAUGUGGUAGCCAAACUAAAUAAACUCCCAUCAUCAUUUAGAUCAUCCCACAUAAGGAAAAAAGAUCAGCCAACUCCUACUGCAUAAUGGGAUUAUAUUUUUCUUUUUGUCAUGUUAAUGGGACUUAAAAGCUCACUUACAUGCAUGCUACCGGUGCAUGCUUGCAUGCAGACAUGUUGAUGUGAUUUAAAACCCACUCACAUGCAUGUGCCACGGUAUUUCUAUAUGCUUGCAUGUGGCUUAGUGCGAAGCCUCUCAACGUCUAAAUCAGACGGCUAUUAUGACUGAUUUACUUCAUCUAACGGCUACGUCAAUUUUGAUGAUGUGGCUCAAGGAGAGGAUAGAGAAUUUCUAGUAGUGGGGGCUAGCUAUUACUAGUAGAUAAGUCUUUGUAGAGAUUCCACUAGGUGAACUACAUACGGAACAAAAUGAAUGAAUCUACACUUAAAAUGCAUCUUUAUACAUCUGCAUGUGGUUAAUGGUGAAAUCUCUACAAAGACUUAUAUUUAGGAAUGGAGGAAGUACUAGUAUAGUACUAGUACGUACUGUAAUUUAUCAGUGAGAUAAAUUUGUACAAUGCUAUGAAGCAUCCAACUCCUGUUACAUGUAUCUUGCGUCCAAGGUUGCUCAUUGCAACAUUUCAUCAAAUACAAAGGAGACUAACAUGCAUGCUAUUGCAUCUCAAUGAUUGACAGAUCAUAGCAAAUAUGUACUCCCUCUGUUCCAAAAUAAGUGUCUCAACUUUGUGCAAACUUUAGUACAAAGUUGUACUACUACUAAAGUUGACACUUAUUUUGGAACAGAGGUAGCUAAAGAAAAAAACGAUCCAUGCAGUCCCUAGCCCUUGAACCGUGAACCCUGACCAGGCUUCAUUUUGCUGGCAAUGUUCGAGCUGCCUAAUAAAUGAAGUUUGCAACCUUUUGACCAUCGGUUCAUUUUGUGCAGUUUCACCAAAAUCGAGAUGAGCAUCCCUGUGGCAAAGAAAUUGGAGAAGCGUGAUUAGAAUAAGAUUACUAGGACUAGUUGAUGAGACAUAAACUCAUCAUAAAUAUAGUACGUAGAAGCCAGCAGAGGUAUCAGGUAUGUGUGGGGCAAAGAAGUAGAGAAAUAUCCAUAGGGAGUGAUGUGGGCAGCUGGAGCAGUGGUGCAAGCCGGCUGUAAAGGGAGUUGUACUUGAGGGACGUAGCUCAACCUUGAGGAGGGCGGCGGGAGGCGGCAACUGCCCACAUCGUGGCAGUGAGCAAGGGACGAAGGUAACCUCACUGGCUUUGUGAGAGAGAACGGCGGGGACCCCUGAUCGGGACAUGCCGACAGUGGGUUUUCGCCGUCGGCGUCGGCCACCGCAUCUACACUAAGCAUCCACCCUUUCCCCAAGCGGACAUGAUCUGCCGGGAUGUUAGAGAUGUGGCCACAGUCGUUUUGUGCGAGAGAGUGUGAAGAGAGAAACCCCAGCAAGCAACCGUGUAGGCUGGCCCGUCCUGACUAUGUAUAUAGUGGAGCGGUUUCCUUUUCGAACCUAUCAUAUUGCGUACGUGCCACUGAAGAAAAAAAAUAUAUUUAUAAAUGACGCGGCACAUACUACUCGUUCUCCUAUAACCUUGCACUUGGCAUCUCCAAAAUAUUAACCUUGCGAUUGGCUCUUUGCCUCUUCGGGAAGUCGAGCAAUAAUGGUAGUGCAGUAUAUAUCUUUCUGGCUAUAUGAGACCGAAUGAAUUGUUGCACGUCCACCACGUGGGCGAGGGCCGAGGGGCGAGGGAGAGUGCUACUACAUAUGGAGCAAAAUGAGUGAAUGUACACUCUAAAAUACGUCUGAAACGGUUCAAAACCUAUACUCCCUUGCCAGCGCGCGCUUCCUGCGUGAAACGGUCAGCGUCACCCUGGAGCGUCAGUGUCGCAUUAAUGCCCGGCCAGAGCGGAGGCGACCUCUCAUUGGCGCCGGCUUGGAAGUGGUGCGACGGCCGAGAGAGCACCGCUUCCCGGUGCACGCGACUGCUCCGAGUCGAGACUGGCCAUAGGCCCUGUUUGGAUCCAUGGGUUAUUAGAGUUAGUUUGAGCUAGUUGGGGCUCAAAUAUCCCUAAAGUAUCCAAGCAUGAGGGUUUAAAUUGGAGCAAGUUGCACUGAACCCACCAAAAAAAAC
rnacentral:lncRNA from 1 species